rnacentral:lncRNA from 1 species
UACGGGGAGACCUAAAUCGUGACUUGAUUUUUCCUUUGAUAGAGGGAAUAUAAGCGUGGUAAGGCUUAGAAAAGCCACACUCGUCUAUAUCCCAUAUUUAAGGGGACUCCUAAUAUUUAUAUGGUCCAAAGUAAUGAAGUUGAUUUAAUUAUGGGGAUAUAGACUUGGACCAUCAAAUCUUUUACUUUCUAUAUCUAAGCAAUGAAGUUGCACAAAUUAAAAUUAUCAAGGACCAAUUUGAUGAAAUUAUUCAAUUGAUUGGGCCAUAGCAGGAGAAGGGGGAGACUUGGGGGGUGAGGAUGCAAUUUUCUGGAAUUAUUUUCAUGCAAAAUGCAUGCAAACGUACGAAAGCAUUCUCUGCAUCAAACAAACCAAGUGAUUAUCAUGCCAAUUCAUUCAACAGCUUCCAUGAUUUCUCAACAAAAUUCGGCAAGCAAGAUCCAUACAAAGCUUUCAACCAACUUCAAUUAGCAAACAUGGCUAAACACCUCUGAAAAAUAUAAUUCAUGGCAGCACUUCAUGCUAAUGACAACUAGAAACAGCGGCUGCGACAACAAAAUGGAACCUUGCUGCAUUUUCACUGUUCUCAGGUUUCGGACCUAAGUAUGCAGCUUGGCUCGAAGGUUGUUUUUAGACCAAAAUCAUAGUUUGAAACUGAACAACAAGACAAAUCCCUUCAACAUCCCAAACAAGCAGCAAAAGACAAUCUUUUUAUGAAAUUUUCAUGCAAAUGUUUCAAUCAAAGUUUCUGUAACUGAAGAUAUGCGCCUACCACGGAAUUUCUGAAAUCAGGAUUCAAUUAGCUUCUUAUGGGUUAGAAACUGCAGAAAUAUUCUAUUAUUCACCCCAAGAAACUCCAGAAACGUUCUAACACACAGCAAACAGACCCAACAGGACAAAAAAAAACAAAACUAGAACCUCCGCUAACCCAAAAACCAGCUUCGUUAACAUCGCUGCAAUAGAUUGGCCUUGUUGCAGCUGAUACUACAUCGCAAAUUGCUACUUUAAGAUGCAGGCAGGCAUAGACAUGGCAUUAUCAUCACACAGCAAGCAAAAGCAAAAGAAGUCCCAAAGGAGCAAACAAUCCACACCAGAAAUUUAGUCACCAAGGAAAAUUCAGUUUUUGUCUAAUCGUGGAGCAAACAAUCCACACCAGAAAUUUAGUCACCAAGGAAAAUUCAGUUUUUGUCUAAUCGUUGUAACAAACCAGAAGCUUCACGCUUGUUGCUUGUUUCAUCAGAUUUUCGUGCACAAAUCCCAGCCAAAACAGAGCUUGAAACCAAACAACCAGCUUACCAAAUACCCUUCUCACUCUUCAACAAAAAGUCUUUGGGUUUAGGCACCAAGAAAAAUCAGAAUAAAACAAACAAAGCUGGAAAUUUCCUGCGGCUUCACCAUCUAACCAAACAGAUUCAUCGUAUACCUCCCCCCAUAGGCAAACCCCAAACUGCUCCUCCUAAACCCAAAUCGUGAAGACAAACAAAAUUCUAAGAAUGGACUUGUAACCCACGGAUCAUAGGCAUUCCGAAAAGUUAACAGCUUUCGAAUUCAUAAGCUUUCAAUCCCGCAUGUUCAGAAUACACAUAAAAAACCCACAUAAGAAUCACAAGACCUGGCCUUUUUACUUACGAACUAAUAAUCAAGUUCAUGGUGAACAUGAAACAACAAAGAAACGGAGAAGUGGGCAACAAAACUGGAAUGAGCAAGAUAAGGCUGGAGUUACCUCAGCACCUUACAUAGUUGGAAUUGCAAUGAAAAUUUGCAGGAAGGUAGGCAAACUGAUAUCCCUGGGCAUAAUGGUGACCCCCCUAACGUGAAUGGCAUCAGAUUUGCGUCCCCAAACAGUCCAACCAAGUACGUCUCCGCAGACUCUCUUCUGUACUUCCUGAUUUCUCUCGGUGCCACCGUUCUUGGACAGAAACGAUGGGGUUUCUUCACUCCUCAGGUUGCCGGAGCUGAUUUCCUUGUUGCCUUGGCGGCUAGCUGCUUCCUUGGUUUGCUUGUUGCUCAGAUUCUCCUCUCCUCUCUCAGUUGUUCUCCUACAGCCGUCAACUUCUCAGUUUUUUCUUUUGCUGUUUUUUCCUCCCGUCAGCUCCCUCUCGGCUUUCUCCAACUCUCCCCUACUGUUCCUGCUUAGCUUUCUUGUUUUUUCUCUUUUUCGUUUUUCUUUCUUUCCGAUCCUAUCCUGUUAAUGCUCUCCCAAAAAAACCUCCCCGAUUCCCUCUCUCGUUUUCUUGGAUCUUCUAAGCCCUUUUUCUUCCUAUCACCCCUAACCCCAACUCUCUCUUUCAGUUUUUCUCUCGCUGUCCCCACUCUCAAUCUCUCAGCUCUCAGUUUUUCUUUUUGCCGUUCUUACUCUCCCCACGAUGAAGCUCACUCUGUUGGUUCUCUCCCUAAAGCCCGCAGCCUUUCUUUCUUUUUCCUUUGCUGUUUUUCUUUUCCCUAACCGAGCUCCCCUCUCUUGCGGCUACCUUUCAGCUUUCCUUUUAUAUCCCAUGAUAACCCUAAACUUCAAGCCAGCUCUUCUAUAUUUGCAGCCCAAGGAGCUGCCGAACAUUUCUUUGCAAGCUGCGAAAAACGCAGCUUGCUGCCGCGUAUCACUCUUUUUUUUUUUUUUUUAACUUUCAACUUAAUAAAUAUAAUAAUAAUAACAAAUUGACAAAAACCAGGUAAUAAUAAUGAAAAUAAUUUAAAAACAACAAAAAUGGCCAUUUUUCCAUCUUUUUCUACAUUUUCUUUUUUCUCCUUUUUUUAUGAUUUUUCAUUUCCAUUUUUCUUUCAAGAAAGCAUUGAAUAAAAACCAAAAUGACUAAAACAUAUUUUUGAUGUUUUCCUUUUCUUUUUCUAAAAACUCUAUGCUAAGCUUAAAAACUAAAAAAAAAACUAAAAACUAAAAACUAAAAUCUAAAACUUAAAAGUGAUUAAAAACCUAAAAUGACAAAAUAAAAAUAAAUAGACAAACUAAAAGGGCAAAAUGAAUAAAACUAAAAUAAAAUAACAACUAAAAAAUGCAAAACACACAACAAUGAACUAAAUGCAAGCGAUCUAAAAUAAAAAUCAUGAAGUAGAUGCCACAUACAAAUUAUUCAAAAUUUGGUGUCUACAGUUUGCCCCUCUUUGUCUGAGUUUUGAAAAAACUUGAGACAAAGAAGUGGACACCAAAUACUUACCUGUGUUAUUGGGCUGCAAAAUGAUUCCAACGAACAAGAAUUCUAAAAAAACGGGACUGACCCGAACAUGAAUGUAAAAACGGGAUAGACCCGAACAGAAAUGUAAAAUUGGGAUAGACCCACGGGAUAGACCCGAACAGAAAUUUAAAUUAGAUGAAUUGAAGUGAGAUGGAGUGUUGGUGGGAUGAAAACACGCACAUUAGUGAGAUAGGCUCGAUGCUAACGGCGGUAGGAUGAAAACGCGCACGUUAGUGAGAUAGACUCGAUGCUAACGGCAGUAGAAAUAAAACACGCACGUUAGUGAGAUAGACUCGAUGCUAACGGCAGUAGAAAUAAAACACGCACGUUAGUGAGAUAGACUCGAUGCUAACGGCUGUAGGAUGAAAACACGCACAUUAGUGAGAUAGACUCGAUGCUAACGGCGGUUGAAGUAAAACACGCACGUUAGUGAGAUAGACUCGAUGCUAACGGCGAUGAAAACACGCACAUUAGUGAGAUAGACUCGAUGCUAACGGCGGUUGAAGUAAAACACGCACGUUAGUGAGAUAAACUCGAUGCUAACUGCGGUUGAAGUGCACAUUAGUGAGAUAGACUCGAUGCUAACGGCGGUAGGAUGAAAACACGCACAUUAGUGAGAUAGACUCGAUGCUAACGGCGGUUGAAGUAAAACACGCACGUUAGUGAGAUAAACUCGAUGCUAACUGCGGUUGAAGUAAAACACGCACAUUAGUGAGAUAGACUCGAUGCUAACGGCGGUAGAAUGAAAACACGCACGUUAGUGAGAUAGACUCGAUGCUAACGGCGGUUGAAGUAAACACGCACAUUAGUGAGAUAGACUCGAUGCUAACGGCGGUUGAAAUGAAAACACGCACGUUAGUGAGAUAGACUCGAUGCUAACGACGGUAGAACGGAAGCGCACACGUUAGUGAGAUAGACUCGAUGCUAACGGCGGCAGGAUGAAACACACACGUUAGUGAGAUAGACUCGAUGCUAACGGCGGUAGAAAUAAAACACGCACGUUAGUGAGAUAGACUCGAUGCUAACGGCGGUAGGAUGAAAACACGCACAUUAGUGAGAUAGACUCGAUGCUAACGGCGGUUGAAGUAAAACACGCACGUUAGUGAGAUAGACUCGAUGCUAACGGCGGUAGAAUGAAAACCAAUCCCAACAUGACUUUUGUGAAGUUGGCGGCACAAAAUCCAGGCCCAACGUGAUCUUGUGAUAGUUGGCGGCACAAAAUCCAGGCCCAACGUGAUCUUUGAUAGUUGGCGGCACAAAAUCCAGGCCCAACGUGAUCUUUGUAAGGUUGGCGGCACGAAGUCCAGGCCCAACGUGACAUUGUGAAUGGUCAGUGGGAUAAGACCCAAUCCUGCCAUCCAAUUGGUCAAGAAAUUGAAUUUGAUUUGUCAAAAUACAAGAAAUUAAAUUUGAUUUUCCAAGAAACAAGAAUUUGAACUUGAUUUUUGAUUGAUUUUUUUUAUUUUUCCUGAUUUUUCGAGAGAAUCUUUUUCCCAAAAUAAUUUGCCCCAGUGUAAGGCCCUUUUCCCUUCUUUCUUCUCUUUCUUCGGCAUCGGCCUUCCACAUCGCCAGAUGCUUUUCGUCGACUUCAACUGUGAAUACCUGCACAGGGGGCUUACAUGCACUCAAAUUUUCAAGAAAAAGGCAGCGUGAUUGAAAGUCUUGCUUGAGUCUUUGACGAAAUCCUCAAAUGGACUAUAAAAAAUUUGCCCCAGUGUGGGCUUAUUUUGUGAAAUCUUGCGAAUAAAAAUUUUGCCCCAGUAUGGGCCCAUUUGAUUGCAAACAAUUGGUUUGGAUGACUUUCCAUUUAUGCGAACACUAUAAGAAAGAAAAUUUCAUGAUGAAUUUCUCAAAAUAAUGCCAAAUUACAAAGGAUUUCUUCCUUACCUUAGCAUCGAAGCUUUGGGUAAUGGCGUUAUUUCUGAUUUGGAAAUGGGAGGUCAAGAUUUGUCUUAUUCAUGUGCUCAGAUGGUAUGUAACCCCUUCUAUACCACAUCUUGGUGAAAGCAAAGAGUUUAUCAUCCUUAUUUCUUAAGAAAACGUAGUCCACAUACGAGCUUUAUAGGCUUGCAAUAACACGGAUGGAAACGAUAGCUAAAACAUGAAAAAACUGGUUGUUCCCUUAUGAUCACAAAUGAUUGAUGGAUUUCUUACGAGCAUAGUCGUCACUUUGGAUUGUCAUGAAGGAAUAAGUCAACGAUGGACUUUAUGAGCUUGUAAUGUGGCUUGAAAACGAUAGCUAAAGAAUAAAACUUUCAAGGACAUUACACCACAGAUCGCAUUUUUCAACAUUGCCUUCAUCUGGACUCCAGAUUCUUGGACUUUGUUUGACUUUUUAUCAUCACCCAACAGGGUCUUUCAACAUCAAAUCUUUUUGCAUCUUUCUUUUGCAUUCAUUUCGCUCGUUUUUCUUUUCUUUUUCCCUCUUUUCAGAAAUACCUUCUCGGGGUUUCAUAUGAAGAGCAGUGUCAACCUCACGCCAAAUCAAUUCAGAAAUACAGCUAAAAUUUUCGACAUCAGAAAUUUUCUUAACAGGGCCAUUGCUAAGAACAGAAGUCAGGGCUUUCGGCUUUUGUAAUGGGGUCAGGUGGGGUGCUUAGAAAAGUUAAGGCUUGAAAACGGAUUUCAAAGUGGUUUGAAAAAUCCGAGAUCGCAUUGUUGCGCCAACCCUAUUUCAGGGUUAAAUCAAAAUCUGCCUCAGUUUUUGCUCAAUUGAGGCUUUUCACUUUCAUUUUUCUUUUUCCAUUUGACUUUUCGGCCUUUUUGCCAUUCUUUGAAAUUUCACAAAAUUUGCCCCAAUUUACUUUUGAACUGAGGUUCUCUUUUCUUCUUUUGCCUUUUGAUUUUGUGGGUUUUCACUUUUUCGCUUCUUGAAAUUUUCUUUUUCAACCCAACUUGCCCCAGUGUGGGGUUUGCGAUUCUCAGGGGGUGCCAAAUGAAGUAUUUUAUUCUGAAGGCUCAAAAGGGAUAACUAGGGAUAGAAUGUUUGAUUGGAAAAGAAGAUGGCCUGACUUGUAUUCCGUUCCUUACAAUAACUCUGAAAGGAAAUUUUCAUUAAUGGGAAAUUUUUGGCAUGUAUCUGAAUUAACUGAUUGGGGAAGACCCUUGUUCAUCCAUAUUUGUGAAACAUAGGUGAUCCACGCGGACAAAACUCUUCCUUUUCUCUUUUUUCCAAAAUUCGGAACCCAAGUGGAGUCAAAUUUCCCCAAUUUGCGGUUCCCUCCUUAUUCGAGCAUUUUUGCUUUUCCCCUUUUCUUUUCCUUUUUAAAAUUUCCCAAUCUCCUUCCCCAAUGCGAGGUACGAUCAUAAGUGCAUUCGAAAAGAACCACCAAUUUUAGCUCAAAUGAGGACGCAAGGGAUAAAUGGUGUUUAGAUUGAAGAAAUGAUGGCCAAAGUAUCAUUCUUACACUUCAUGACAACCAAAGUAACGAAAUGCUCAUUGACAAUCCAUUCCCUUUUGAAAGUUUUGGUGUUUUAUUAUUUAUUUAUUUAUUUACUAUUCGUUUUUAUUUGUUCUAUUUUUAUUUUUAUUUACUUUUAGUUUUAGUUAUUUUAUCCAUUUUAGCUAGAAUUUCUCAAAGGAAAAAGAAAAGUGUUCAAAAAAAAUAUGUUUUAGUCGUUUAGGAUUUAAUUUCAUUAUUGAAAGGAAAAAAGGAAAAAUAAAAAUGAAGAAUGGGAAAAAGAAAAAUUGCAACUUCGUUCGUUUGUUUUUGUUUGAUAUUUUUACUUAAUCAUCUUGUUGUUUAUAUUACUUAAUUAUCUUUUGUUUAUUGCUUAAUUUUAUUACUUAAAUUUUAAGUGUUAAAAAAAAAAAAGAAGUGAUACGCGGCAGCAAGCUGCGUUUCUCGCAGCUUGCAAAGAAAUGUUCGGGCAGCCCUUGGCUGCAAAUAUAGGAAAGAUGUUUGAGGGUUUUAGGGUUGAUAGAUGGAUAUAAAUAGCAAAGGAGGAGGCCAGCCGCAAGGGGGGAGGAUUGAGGAGAGAGUUACGGGAGAAAGAGUAAACGGCAAAAGAAAACAUCAUAGAGAGACGGACGGCUGCAAGGAUCUGGAGAAAGGAAAGAAAUCUGGGAAAAGUCCGAAAGAGAGUUUGGGGUGGCGGCGGAGAGCUUGACAGCCUGGUGAGAGGAAAGGGAAAUAGCAAAGAGGGGGCAUCGAUUGACUGCGGCAAAGAUUUGGAAAGGCUAGUGACGGUUGAGAAGUUGGUUGGACGGCUGAAACCAGAAGGAGACCGAAAGAAACCCCAAGCAGCGACUUCAUCAGACUCUGCAAUCGAUUUCUUCAUCACCCAAGCUGAAGCUUCAAACCCAAAGGUGGUCAACAGGUAGCUUUCCACCCGUUUCUGUAUCUAUUUCCAUUUCCUAUGAAAUCUGGUCUGCGUAAUUAGAGUUCCUGGAGUCUUGCACUGAGUUCUUGAUCGCUAAAGUAAAGCUUGGUGUUUUGGAUGAUUUUUCCGUGACAGCAUGCAGUUUUCUUGUGUUCAUUGGGGUUUGCAAGUAAAGUUGUUCCCUUCCUUCGAUGUUUUUCUGUGUUUUGAGUAUAGCCAGGCCUGAUAACGUUUUGUUUUUCUUACCAACCAUUUUGUUUCCAAAAUCUGAAGCCAACUUUGUCCGUUUUCUUUUGGCAUUCCAUCUAACACUUUUCGUUUCAUGGUUGGGUUUUGAUAUUUGAGGAAGGUUGGAUUUUUAUUUCUGUUUUGGUUGAGGAGUGCGUUGGUUUGGCCUGGUUUCUCCCAGAUCGAUCAAUGAGUGAGGAUUAUGUGGGUUGGGGCUGAUGAGAUAACAAAUUGUUAGAGUUUUCAUACGGACCUAAAUUGCAUGGAAUGAGCUGCGCAGUUCACAGCAGAAUUUCUGCUGCAAUUUCAUCUUUUCGGCUAGAUUGCAUUUUCCUUCUUUUUGUCUUUGUUUGUUUUUACCGUAGCUGUGGCUGUUCAGUCUAGGUAAUGUCCAGUCUUGUGCUACUUUGGCUGAAAUGCCUGAAUUGGGAUCCAAUGCUUGCUGGAAAAUGAAUGAUUGAAGUUGUCAAACCAGUGUUGCACGCAUGUUUAUUCCAGAAAUUUGCAUGAUAUCUUCUUGGGUUUCUUGUUUGUUUGGAUUAUGAUGGUGGUUUAGUUGUGGGCUUGGUCUAAAGUUGUGACGUUGAGUUUAAUUACAUCUAAUCAAGGUUGUGAUAAGAAUCUGAGUUUAUAAGAAAAUUGCUGCAAAGUUGUUUGGCCGGAAACAUUGUUGAAGCUGAAACCUUUUAUUGUUGCUUGCAUGUUAUUUCAGACCUGAAUAUAAUGUUUUUCUGGGUUGUUUGCUUGCUUGGAUCAUGGUUGCUCAAGCCAAAGUUGUUUGUUGCUUAAUCUUGGUCGAAGUUAUGUAUUUGAACCAGAAAAUUUGAGUUAGUUUGCAAGUAAAAUGCAGCAGAUUUCACUUUCAGCUAUAGCAGUUUUCAUUCUUCAAUGUUUGCAUGUUCAUUCUUCAAUGUUUGAAUGAUUUCCACCUUUGUCUUUGCUGAUUUUGGAUGUUAAACUUAUGUUUUUACUGUCUAAGUUUAAAGUUUUGGAUGUUAGCUUUGGUUAAGGUAUGUGAUUGGAUGUGGAGUUGGCAUUUGGGAGUGAAACAUGAAGGAAAUGCAGCUGAAUUGGCGCAGAAAUGAAAGGCUUCUACGUGUUUUGCAUGCAUGGAUAAUUUCAGAAUUGUCUCUUAACCCCCCAAGUCUCCCCUUGUUCUACUAUGACCCAGAAAUUGGAAGGAUUAAUCAAUUUAGUCCAUGAGAUUUUGCAGCAAUGCUACAAAGACCCGUUUGCUUUUCAAUCGUUUGCAUUCAAGUUCUAAAGUGUUUGCAAUCUGAGCUAUUACUUGCUUUUGUCUUUGCCCUUGGACCUUUGAAGUUCCUGAAAAGUGUUUGAUUAAGCUUGAGUGCUUUGUUAAUAUUUGCAAUUUGGUCCUUGGAAAUUUUAAUUUUUCAAUUCAUUGCUUGUUUUGCUUCAACUAAUUACCAUGCUUUGUCAAUUGCACUUAAGUCAUGACUUUGGGGACUUUAUGGUCAAGUGAGCUUUGCUUUGCACAUUUCUUUUAAUUUUUCUUAAAUAAAUUGGUACCUUGACCAUUUCUUUUAUUUUGGAGGAUAAAUAAGUGAUUUCACUUCAUUGGGCCCCAAUUUCAAGGGAGGUACACCCUAAUCCCUUCUUUGCACUUCAUUUGACCCUACGUGCUCUUAUGUGUUAUGUGAAUAUGCCUGCCUACUCCGCUUUCCUUACCUCCUUGCAUGCAUUUACUUGUUUUUACUUUUAUUUAAGUUUUAUGGGGUAUGUGUACACCUCUUGGCUUGUAAUAGAUAGGGCUCGGAGAGCAUCUGGUCCAUUUCCCCUUCCCCUUUAAGUUUUAUGGGGUAUGUGUACACCUCUUGGCUUGUAAUAGAUAGGGCUCGGAGAGCAUCUGGUCCAUUUACCCUUCCCCUUGGUUGUUGGCUUUUGUUGCUACAUGUUUAAUUGCUUUAUUAGGCUCUUGCAUCUAGUCGAGCAUGCUAAAUGCUAUGUGCUAUGUGUUUACGAGUAUUUUGGCAUGUCUACUUGCUUUCAUAGCCAUGAAUGAAUGGAAUGGAUGAAUGUACGUUUCCGCUAGUCCAACGCUAGUCGGAGUUCAUAGAAUGGGCUAGUCCAACGCUAGACCCAAUAGGAUUUUUCCUUUGUUUUUCAUUAAUGCAUUAUUUGCCUGUUCACUACAUGUCAUGCAUCUUUCUUAGUUUUAUCAUUUGGCAUGCUCCCCGAGCCCCUUUUCCCUCAUUUUAGGAUUUUUUGCAUCUCAUACUAGUUAUAGGGUUCAUUUGCUUGAGAGUCCCCUUCUGAUAUGGGAUAUAGACGAGUGGAGCUUUUAGCUAAGCCUUAGCACGCUUAUAUUCCCUCUAUCAAAGGGAAAAUUGAGUCACGAUUUAGGUCUCCCCGUACCCAGUAUGCAUGAAUUCCCUAGGCUCAUGCAUUUUUUAAAUCCACUCUAUCAUUACACUUUCACUUUUGUCUCAUUUGCACACAUGCACCUUUUUAUCACUUUCACUUGCACACGAACACUUUUUUUAUCUUCACUUGCACAUGAACAUUUUUAUUUUCACUCGCACACGAGUACUUUCAUCUACAUUUGCACACCUUCACUUAUAUCUUAUUACUUUUAUCAUUUUUCUCACUUCACACAAACUCACACUUUCACAUGGCAUGCAUUCCACUCAUUUUUCACGUCAUUUAGGUUUAGGUGUGACCUCUCCAAAAGGAUCAUUGUUGGGCUUCACAAUUAAUGUGAUUGGCACCGCUCAACCUUUGAAGAGAAAUUUCCCCCAUAUCCCCCUAGGUCUAGGUUUUUGCAUUCAUAUAGACAUAUCCAAUACGCGAUACAUACCUUGGGUAGAAAAAUUAGGAAAAUUGGUUUAAGUCACGCAACUAGCCUUGGCUAGGUCGAAGGGGUGCCUUGGAUUUUUAUCCUUGCCUUCCCCUUCGUCAAAUGUGACUCCCGAUCCCUCUUUUGGUUACGUAGACCCAAAAGUUCUCAAAAAGGGUUUAUUUACUUUUUUAUUCAAAAACAAAAAUCAUUUUUGGGUGACUUGGUACACCCUAACUCUAUACCAAGUGGCGACUCCAUUUUUGAUACAAAAAAAAAACCCUUUUGAACUUCACUUGGCCAAGUCGUCGCAUUCUAAGUCCCAUGGCCUUUUACUUUUCAUUUUGCACACAUUCACAUUCCACUACACACAUCACAUCACAUUCUCAUUCAAAAAGUGGGGCGCGACAGUAACUACUCGAAUUAACGAACCAAAUUGGAGGUAGUAGAACGCCACAAUCAAGGAGAUACUCGAUUGAUAAGUUCGGGUGAAUAACUUGAGAAGAUUCUCAAGUAUUCAAAGGCAACUCUCUUGCCAAAGAGAAAGUGAAAACUCACUAAUUGUAUUUAAUAGCCAAAAACUGAUGUGAAAACAAAGAGGAAGUGGGGCUAUUUAUAUCCCUUACAAGCAUUAACCAUAAUCCAAAAGUUGACCAAACUACCCUACAUACUUAAGAAAGAUUUUGGGUCUUACUUACUAACAAAUGGGCCGCAAUUAAACUAUCUUAAUUACCUAGACUUUUUAAAACGAGAAAUAACCAAAAUCAACGAGGAAAAUCAAAUAAUCCUACUAAACUCAAGCAUUCGUGCAAUCAACUAGUCUUCACUUGAAUCUUCCAAUUCCCCAUGUGCUUGAAUGGGCCUUGGUCUUUAUAUUCUCAUCAUUCCCCUACUCUUAAAAGCAAUUUGCCCACAAAUUGAAGCACGAAUGGUGACAAGACGAGUUACAUGCCUUCGACUCAAUCUUGUUAUGAUGGCUACAGAUGGCAUCCAAUGCAAAGCCCAUGUGCUAAGUUGGAAAAUAACCCUCGUCGAACCUUGAAUCUCACAAACCAUCUUCAAUGUAUGCUCAACUUUAUUGCUUGUGGUCAUGAGGUAAGGGUCCUCAAAGUGGUAUGAAGUGUAUCCCGUGAAAUCGAACUCCGGCUCGAACACAUUUGCAAGGCACCAAGGCGGAUUUGGUGAUGUUAGAGCUGCAUGUGGACUAAGAGCAAGACGAAAAUCAUAAUGGUCAUUGAGGUACUUGUUCUUUAAACGAACCCUUGGUACACAACCAUCCCUAAAAUAUGGAGUGUUCCCUUCAAGAUGAGCUCGAAUCAACUCCCCUUUGGUGUGGACUGAUUUGAGUUGACAUUGUUCCAUGAAUGGAUACCAAGGGGGUUUAACUCUUGGAGUACCAACUCCAUGGAGGCUUGCAACGUCUACAAUUAAUUUUGGAAUGGAACACACCAAGAUCAGCUCAACUUGCCUUUGCUUGAUCUGUAUAAAAGAAGAAACACUAAACAAAGCAAAGGUAAGUUUGUUAAGAAAAUAAUAGGCCUUCACCGGGUUGCUCAAGAUCAGUCCACUUUCUCUUCUUUCUUCCUUUUUACCACCCAUCUCAUUAGAUUUUUCCAUCUCUUUUUCUAGUUCAACAGCUGACCCUUUUAUCUCAUUACUUUCAACUUCCUCGGGUUUUACCUCUGCAGGCACAAUUCCCUCAUCUAGCUUUUUCUCCAUUCUAUAACGCUCAAGCGCACUUUUCAUGCAUGCUAGAUCAAUACAAAGUUGGUCAUAAGUAAGUGAUACAAGUGCAAGACGACGACUAUUAAAUAAGAAGGAAUACUUAUUAGUAUGUCCAUCAAUUUUAACUUCUCGCCUCGACAUCCAUGCUUUGCCCAACAACACAUGUGUCACUUGAAUUGGGACUACAUCACACAACACCUCAUCCACAUAUUUGCUGAUUUGAAUAGGUACAAGUGUGUGCUUAGUAACCCAAACAUCCCUAUGAGUGCUCGUCAACUUGUAAGGUUGAAGAUGAUCAAUGGUUGGAAGAUUUAAUUUCUCAACCAUGAUAGCACUUGCAAGAUUGACUUCACAACUACCAUCAAUGGCCAAGCUACAAAUUUUAUCUUUGACACCGCAACGAGUAUAAAACCAACCAAGCAACUGAGAUUUGACGAGGUCCAAUUGCUCAUCUACACCACGUAAUGCCACUUCUUUGACUCCCUUAGGAUCAGGAAGACAAUGUUGUGGGCUAGCUUUUAUGCGUCUUAUACUUGCCAUGACGUAUGAGGGAACCUGCAAAAAGUUAGCAACGAAACCGAAGAUAUUGCCUUUCACGCUCCCUUACGUGUAUCCACUCGCACUCGUGUAUAUGGAUGUCACUCUAAUGGACUUACCAAAUACCUUUACCUGUUGGGUUAGGUAGUUGAGAAAUGCUGCUCAAGUCCAACAACCGUUACCAACCUUUCCACAAGUGUAAUCACAAGAAUGUAGGAGAAAAUGUAUGAAAGUGUUCCUAGAAUCUAGGAAGAGAAUAUAGGAGAGUUUCAUAAAGUGGAUGAGAGAAUAUAGGAAAGGUCCUAAAAAUGGAUGAGAGAAUUUUAGGAGAGUUUCCUAAAAAAUGGAUGAGAGAAUUUAGGAAAGUUUCCAAAAAAAUGGAUGAGAGAGUUUAGGAAAAAAAAAUGGAUGAGAGAGUUUAGAGAAAAUUUCCUAAAAAGGUAGGAGAGAGAGUGUCCAAGUGAGUACAAAGAGUUAUCCAAGUGCUUUACUUAGUUUCCUAAUUGAUUUUGGAAACAAGUUAGUUUUUGGAAACCUUUUGAAAAUCCUCUUCCUCUUGAACAACUUUUGGUAACCUUCUUGAAACAACUUUUGGUAACCUUCUUGAAACAACUUUUGGUAACUUCCAAAUUCUACUCCAAGAAAGAUUGCACAAAUCAGAUUUGGUUCUCUAUUCAAAACAAUUCGGUUGCCCCUUUCUUUCCUUGCCUUUUUUUUUUUCUCUUGCCAACCAAUUCCUCUUUUCUUUCUUCUUUUUUUUUGUCUUUUUUUGACUACAACUAUCAACCACGACACAAAACAAGGAAGUCCACAAAUAAUAACAACCAAGAACUCCAAGAUCUUUCAAGAACGUUCAAGGAAGUUGUCAGGAACUUCAGAAAUUUCAAGAUUGUGGUCAAGAAUUCAAGAAGCUCAAGAUUAUUGUAAGUUCUCUUCACGAUUCACAAAAUUCCAACAAUUUUUGCCAAAAUUCAGAUUUGAAAACCAAGUAAACAAGUUGGAUAACACAAACAACAAGGCUGGACAGAUUUGUAUUCGGAUGAACAGAACCCUAUGAACAGUAUCAGUGAACAGUGUCGGUGAACAGUAACGAUGAACAGUAAUAUUUUUUUUUUUUUUUUGGUUCUGAACAAACGAACAGAUUGGGAUAAACACAUAUGACUCGAAAUAAACGAAAACAAAAAAAAAGAUAUAACCUGGUGGUUGUCAACUAGCUCUGGUACCAACUGAUGUGAAACCCCGAUCUAGACAACCAAAACACCAUGGCUUAGGCAGCGAAAAUUUGACCCAACUAAUCCCUAGAAGUCACGAACAAUUUUGAUAUUAUCUCAACCCGUAACUACUCGAAUUAACGAACCAAAUUGGAGGUAGUAGAACGCCACAAUCAAGGAGAUACUCGAUUGAUAAGUUCGGGUGAAUAACUUGAGAAGAUUCUCAAGUAUUCAAAGGCAACUCUCUUGCCAAAGAGAAAGUGAAAACUCACUAAUUGUCUUUAAUAGCCAAAAUCUGAUGUGAAAACAAAGAGGAAGUGGGGCUAUUUAUAGCCCUUACAAGCAUGAACCCUAAUCCAAAAGUUGACCAAACUACCCUACAUACUUAAGAAAGAUUUUGGGCCUUACUUACUAACAAAUGGGCCGCAAUUAAACUAUCUUAAUUACUUAGACUUUUUAAAACGAGAAAUAACCAAAAUCAACGAGGAAAAUCAAAUAAUCCUACUAAACUCAAGCAUUCGUGCAAUCAACUAGUCUUCACUUGAAUCUUCCAAUUCCCCAUGUGCUUGAAUGGGCCUUGGUCUUUAUAUUCUCAUCAGAGCUCCCCUAUCCGGUCGGCUUGCAUCCUCGUGAUGCCCCUCAGCCUAAGCAUCUCUGUGUGGUCCCGGGCGGCAGCCCGUCUAAGCCUCCUCCGCUCAUCCAGUACCGCCACGACCACGUGGUCCGCAUAGGAGUGACUCUGGCAACGCCUACAGCGACGGGUCCGACUAGCGGUGUACCAGAGCCGGAUCGGACCUCCUGGCCUCUCCUUAUAAUCGACAACGCGCGGGCGUCUCCUUGGUGGCUCACCUCAACCAGCACCACUGUUUCCGACCAUAGCCUACAAGGAUAGCAAAAGGAUUCAUAUCUUAAACAAUGUAAACAUAAGCACACCUAACAGUUCCUUAACACUUCCCUCACAGGUCCUAAGGAACAAAAGUCAAACUUGCCUAGGUCAUUUCUAACCUAGGCUCUGAUACCACCUGUGACAGCCCCACCUUCCCCUAAGGCGUACCAAAGGGGUUAGCGGACUGCCUGCCCAGCUCUCGCCAGGACUACUAGCUCGAUUAUGUACAAUCUAAAACGUUCCGGAAGGUAAUAGCGCGCUCAAACGAAACAAAACCGUGAAAUGAAAUGGAAUAUCAAAGCCUCACAUGAACAGUGCCAAACACAUUUAUACAUGUAAGGUUCCCAAAUUACAACUCAAAAUAUAGUGUUACAAUAAAAUACAUUUAGGUUUUCCAACCAUCAAGGAGCUAUACAAAAGUAUAUGAAACUAGCUCAACUCGGCUUCCAAUUCACAGUUUUCAAAAGGUAUUCACAUCCCUGUAAGGAAAACAAAGGCAAUGGAGUGAGCUUUCGCCCAAUGAGGUACACUCAUGCAGAUCAGUAAGGUUCACAUAAGCACAAAGUUGCUCAGUCCAACGUUCAACAAGUAAUCCGAACUAACAUUACAUUAAAUUCAGUAAAAGGAUACGGGCGUCUCUCAAGAGCCCUCUUCCUCGCUUGCCGUACUUGAUCUCGCCCCGUUGACCCUCCGUCAACGCUUAAAGAAGUAACCAAUACCGUAGACCCCACUUUCGCCAAUUUCCAUCCACCUCACAUACCCCUACCGGGCCCGAACUCUAUUCAGUUUACAAUGGUAAUACUCGAGUAUACCAGAAUCAAGGGUCUCAUACCCAAUGAUUCCAUAAAACAGUCCCUACGGCUUAUCAAUCUCCUCGACCAUGUCCUUGCUGGCUCGAGUCAAUCGACUUCCAAUAGGGUUGAGCUCAGAGUAAACAGUAAGAGUCGUUGGAUACGUCCAAACGACCCCAAUUCAAGUAUAUUCAAAGACAUUCACUUGAUACAGUAACAAUCACAUAGGCCAUUGAGUGUAAGAGUGAUAAAGUACACCCUUAAUUCAACCAAGCUCAUCAAUACACACAAGCGUCCAAGCCAUAGAUUUCAAGUAUAGCGAAACAAUGAAGUAACAAGUAUGUGAGUAAUACACUCACCAAUCAAGCAAGGAAAAGAUUUCACAGAUUGCGGUCCAACGAGCGCCUAGCGUCACCGGCAUGCCCUAAACCAUACAAGUAACCAUAAUGAGACCCGAAUAUGAGUCAUAAACCGAUUCUACAAACUACUAUAAAAAGACCAAAUAGAACGUAUAAGUGCAAAAUCAACUAGGGCAUGUGCGGAAAUAAAGUUUAGGUUGAAAAACAAAAAGGCAGAUUUGCUGUUGUUUAGCGGAAUUAACACAACUGAAGCUACGUUUGUCGGAUUGAGGUGCAAUAUACACCGUUUCGAAGCUAAGAAAAAGGGUUACAAUGUUGAAGAAGGCCACUCAGUCCAGUUUGUAAUGUAACCAGGUCAAAAUUUCACUGUACCAAACCAGAAUUGCAGAAACAGGUUAGCUAACCGCAUUCUGGUUAAAUGACCGUAACUCAAGCUACCGAUGUCCAAACGAGGUGAUUCCAGGGGCGUUGGAAAGCUAAGACACCAGGCUAUAUUUUUUAAGACGAUAUUGACAACCAAAUCAGUAGUAUUCCCGGUCAACUAACCAAUUACAGAAACAGAUUAUCAGUUUCAGACAGAAACAGGGCAGCAGGCGUAUUUCAGUCUUUUCACAGGCUACGGUUCUCCGAUUGGCCUGAAAUUUUGUAGCCAACUAUAAAACAUCAUUUUCUACAACUUUUAUGUUUUAACCUAAGGCUAAUUAAGCCUCUAUCCUAGUCAAAUAGUACCGGGCAGAACAGGGUUAAUAGAAACCCUAAUCUGAAAUUUUUGCUUCAAACCAGAAAUUUUCCACUAAUCACUACAAUUAUCAUACCAAAGCUUCAUUCUAACCCAUACUAGACCAUCAUACAUGGCCAAUCAACAUUAAACAUAGAAAAAUAGAAAAAUUAUGCAUAAAAUCUAAAAUUCAUCAAACACCACCAAAAGUCAUGAAAACCUCCACAAAAUCACCUAACUAACCUUCACAAGUCAUGAAUUCAUCAUUAUCAAAGCCAAAGAUGGAAGUUCUUGGCUACUCACCUUGAAAUCCCAAGAGUGGAAGCAACUUUACACCACUAUCUUUCAACCCACUUCACCUAGUACUUCCCUACCACCUAGCUAAGGAUUUUUAUGGAGUGAUUUGAAAUUUUAUCGGUUAAAUUGUGAGAUUGAGCAAGAUUGAGUAGAAGAAAUUUGAUAGAUUUUCUUUCUUUUGCUCUCCAAGAAACUCGGCCAAGAGAGGGAAAAAUAAGAGGAUUUUUGGCCAAUUUUUGGUAUUUCUUUGGUAAAGGUGGUAAGAUGGUCUUAUGGUCAAAUUCUAAGUCCAAUAGCAAAGUGACAUUUGUCCCUCUCUUUAAUGCUAGGUUAUCCUUUUGUCUCUCCACUCUCAUCCAUAUAACAACCUCUAACUAACUCUUAGUGAUGUGAAUCCCCGAUCUAGACAACCAAAACACCAUGGCUUAGGCAGCGGAAAUUUGACCCAACUAAUCCCUAGAAGUCACGAACUUGUUGAUACUAUCUCAACCCGUAACUACUCGAAUUAACGAACAUCCCUAGAAAUCACGAACAAUUUUGAUAUUAUCUCAACCCGUGACUACUCGAAUUAACGAACCAAAUUGGAGGUAGUAGAACGCCACAAUCAAGGAGACUACUUGAUUGAUAAGUUUGAUGAACAACUUGAGAAUGAUUCUCAAGUAUUCAAAGGAAAUUCUCUUGAGGCAAGAGAGAGUGAAAAACUCACAUAUAUUUUAUAAAAUCUGAAUCGUUCUUUAAUGAAUGAAAACCUUGGCUAUAUAUAGCCUUACAGGGCUCAAACCCUAGAAUGUCCAAUGGACGACCUUGCCCUUCAUUAAUGGUGACACUAAGUGCUUUAAGUGUCAAGGUUUUGGUCACAUCGCGUCCCAAUGCCCAAACCGAAGGGCCAUGCUCAUGCUUCCAAGUGGUGAAGUGCUAACGGAUGAGGAGGAUGAGUAUGAAGGCAUGCCACCAUUGGUUGAGGAAGAAGAGAUAAUUGCCCCUGACCAACCAGUUGGACUAGGCCUUGUCACAAGGUUGGCAUUGAGUGCUCAACGCACAAAUGAAGAAGAGCAGCGUACCAACAUCUUCUACACCCGAUGUCUAGUUAACGGGAAAGUGUGUAGCUUAAUUAUCGACGGGGGAAGUUGUACCAAUGUCGCCAGUGCCUUAUUUGUCAAGAAGUUACACUUACCUGUCCAAGAUCACCCUACACCAUAUAAGCUUCAAUGGUUUAGUGAUUGCGGCGAAGUGCGAGUGUCCAAGCAGGUUUCUGUGAAGUUUAACAUUGGGAGAUAUGAGGAUGAGUUGGUGUGUGACGUGGUUCCUAUGCAAGCUGCCCAUCUUAUUCUUGGAAGACCUCGGCAAUUUGAUCGCGAGGUUACUUAUGAAGGUCAUUCCAACAAAUACUCGUUCAUGCAUAAAGGGACAAGGGUCAUACUUGUUCCACUCUCACCUACACAAGUUCGAGAGGACCAAAAUGUUUUACAGAGGGAAUGGGAGUUGGAUCGAUUAGAAGGCAAGGAAAGGAAAGGGCGAACAUUGAUCAUGCUCGCUAAACCGGAGGACAACAUCAGGCACUGGGAGUUGGAUCGUUCCACCUUUGUGGUGUUUAACGUGUUUUCAUUUGUACAGGUUGUACGUGGUCAGAUAUCCUUCCUCUUGCAGUGUGCAAUACCCGCAACCAUCGAGAUCUGUGCAAGGAGUGCUGGUCCAGUAAUUCCAACCAGCACUAGUCGGGUUACAUUGGCCUUUGAUGCCAUUUUUGCACGUCUUGAUGCGUACAACGCGCAGCCCAACCAAACCUUGGUUCACCGGGCGUCCGCUCACGGUCCACCCAUAGGCUUGAGACGUCACUUGUGUGCCCAUUAUCAUGGAACUCUUGCUGUCCGCAACAUGUAUCUACCACCACCACGAGUUUUCCUGGUGUCCCACAAGGGUGUCCUGAUCUUUCUUCGCUUGAGAAGGCGACAUGCAGGCUGCUUGGUGACUAUACACAUGCUCUCAUCACUUUUGUUUUGUAAGAAGAGUCAUGAUUUGGGGACAAAUCGCCUUUAAGAGGAGGGGAAUGAUGAGAAUAUAAAGACCAAGGCCCAUUCAAUGAUGAGAAUAUAAAGACCAAGGUCCAUUCCAGAUUGGAAGAUUCAAGUGAAGACUAGUUCGCGGAGUACUAGCUUGCUAAUUUGGGUUUUAAUUACCAUUAUUAGUUGUUUGUUAGCAUUAAUAAUUUCGGUCAAUUUUCCCUUCACUUUGGCCGAAUUUAGAGUCUUAAUUUUAGUUAAUUAGUUGUUAGAUAUUUUCACCAUUAAUGAAGGGCAAGGUCGUCCAUUGGACAUUCUAGGGUUUGAGUCCUGUAAGGCUAUAUAUAGCCAAGGUUUUCAUUCAUUAAAGAAGAAUUCAGAUUUUAUAAAAUAUAUGUGAGUUUUUCACUCUCUCUUGCCUCAAGAGAAUUUCCUUUGAAUACUUGAGAAUCAUUCUCAAGUUGUUCAUCGAACUUAUCAAUCAAGUAGUCUCCUUGAUUGUGGCGUUCUACUACCUCCAAUUUGGUUCGUUAAUUCGAGUAGUUACGGGUUGAGAUAAUAUCAAAAUUGUUCGUGACUUCUAGGGAUUAGUUGGGUCAAAUUUCCGCUGCCUAAGCCAUGGUGUUUUGGUUGUCUAGAUCGGGGAUUCACAUCAGCUGGUUGUCCGAUGGUUGCGGGUAUUGCACACUGCAAGAGGAAGGAUAUCUGACCACGUACAACCUGCACAAAUGAAAACACGUUAAACACCACAAAGGUGGAACGAUCCAACUCCCAGUGCCUGAUGUUGUCCUCCGGUUUAGCGAGCAUGAUCAAUGUUUGCCCUUUCCUUUCCUUGCCUUCUAAUCGAUCCAACUCCCAUUCCCUCUGUAAAACAUUUUGGUCCUCUCGAACUUGUGUAGGUAAGAGUGGAACAAGUAUGACCCUUGUCCCUUUAUGCAUGAACGAGUAUUUGUUGGAAUGACCUUCAUAAGUAACCUCGCGAUCAAAUUGCCGAGGUCUUCCAAGAAUAAGAUGGGCAGCUUGCAUAGGAACCACGUCACACACCAACUCAUCCUCAUAUCUCCCAAUGUUAAACUUCACAGAAACCUGCUUGGACACUCGCACUUCGCCGCAAUCACUAAACCAUUGAAGCUUAUAUGGUGUAGGGUGAUCUUGGACAGGUAAGUGUAACUUCUUGACAAAUAAGGCACUGGCGACAUUGGUACAACUUCCCCCGUCGAUAAUCAAGCUACACACUUUCCCGUUAACUAGACAUCGGGUGUAGAAGAUGUUGGUACGCUGCUCUUCUUCAUUUGUGCGUUGAGCACUCAAUGCCAACCUUGUGACAAGGCCUAGUCCAACUGGUUGGUCAGGGGCAAUUAUCUCUUCUUUCUCAACCAAUGGUGGCAUGCCUUCAUACUCAUCCUCCUCAUCCGUUAGCACUUCACCACUUGGAAGCAUGAGCAUGGCCCUUCGGUUUGGGCAUUGGGACGCGAUGUGACCAAAACCUUGACACUUAAAGCACUUAGUGUCACGGUUUCUAGGUUUAGAUGCCCCUAGAUCUGCCUUAAAUUCGGCCCUUUGGAUCGGUUUUGAAGAUGACGAACCAGCCACCCAUGCUCCAUUCGAAACCCCACUUGCCCUGGCUGACUUUUGUUCGCUCGUGUGGGUAAGCUCGCCUUUGUACGGUGGAGGUCUCCAAUUUCCAGAUUGGACGCUGGAGCUUUGGUGAGGAAUACCCCUCCUCUUGAGCCUCCUUUCCACCUUGACGGCUUUGUCCAAUAAUUCAUCCAUGUCAAGAUAAUGUUGGAGCUCCACAACAUCUGCAAUUUCAGCGUGUAGUCCUCUCAAGAAACGUGCCACGGUUGCUUCUAUAUCCUCCCGAACAUCAGCCCGUAGCAUGGCCAUCUCCAUCUCCUUGAAGUAAUCCUCAACUGUCAAACUUCCUUGGGUGAGAGUUUGCAAUUUAUGGUGCAAAUCCCUGUGGUAAUACGCUGGUAUGAAGCGCUUCCUCAUGAUCCUUUUGAGUUCUUCCCAUGUUCGGAUAAUUGGCUCUUCCUCCCUUCUUUGUUUGAUGCGAAGUUGAUCCCACCAAAUAGAGGCAUAAUCCGUAAAUUCAAGGGCUGCCAACUUCACCUUUUGAGACUCCGUGUAAUGGUUACAAUCGAAAAUCAGUUCAAUCCUCCUCUCCCAAUCUAGGUAUGCUUCGGGAUCCGACUUGCCUUGGAAGGAAGGGAUUUUAAGUUUAAUCCCUUUUAUUUCAUCCUCCACAGGUCCAGUAUCUCUCCUCGGUUUCCUUGGCUCAUAGUCAAAUUCACACUCAGAGUUAGAGUCAUGAAGUUCAAGUGCAGGUCUAUCACGGCUCCUUGGGUUUUGGUGACUUCGUCUAGAGCUACUUUGGAACUCCUCCAACCUGCCAAGUCGUUCAUUCAUGGCCUCAAAUUUUUGAUCCAUAAGGCGCCCCAGUUCUCCUUUCAAACUUUCUGCCAAACGUGAGAAAUCGAAGGCCGACGUACUUUCUCCUUCGUUCGACAUAUUCAACUGCAAGAAACGGUUAGCGAAAAAAAUAGAAAAGGUACCUCACUUCACUCCCUCACGUGUUUCGCUCACCCUCGUGUAUCACUCAAGUGUAUCAACCGCUCUAAUAAUCUCACAAAGCUCUUCCCAAGUCACUCAAGUACUCCUCUUGAAGAAAUAAAAAUUUCCCCAAUGUGUUCGCUCAAACCUUCACCAAGAAUCAGAAACAAUACUCUAAAACACACCAACAAAUACCAGAAUUAAUUUCCGGAAAACAACGACAGAAUUUAUGGAAGUAUGGACUUGACAAUAGACGCAAUGUAGAAGACUACACCAAUUUGAUGACUGGACUGAUUUUUUUUUGUUUUUGGCCGCAACACAAUUUUUUUUUUUUUUGACUUGAUAAUUGAAAACUUGAAGAUGCGGCAAUUAAAGAGAGUAUCAACUAGACAGAAACAAUACUGUAUUCAGCAGCAACUAGACAAUAACAGACAGCAAGGAACAAGGAAAACUAAUGACAGGAACCUUUUUUUUUUUUUAUUAAAACAACAAGGUGAAAUAAUGGUCAGCUAGAGUGUUCUUCGCUUGUGACUUGGCUGGCCGCCUUUUAAGUUGUGUAUGGCCGACCAAAGCAGGCAACCAAAUUUAAUGCAACACAGCUUCAGCUAAGGGAAAUAUUUAUGUAUGGCCGACAAAAACAAGUAAUCAGAUUUCAUGCAACUCAGGUUUCACUUGUCAAAGGGCCACUCGGAUUUCAUGCAAAUCAGUUUUCAUGCACUACUAAUUUACACCAAAUACCCUGUGGAAUUGUUUCCAAACUCACGACUACCAAGAUGGUUUCGCUUCCUAAUCAAGGGUGAACCCCCAAACAGCCCAAGGCUCACGGAUGGCAAGGAAAAACAAAUUCUGGACAGCCCACAAUGGAGACAAAGGAAACAACUCAGGUUUCUUGCACGACAAAGGAGACCAAUCAGAUUUCAUGCAAUUGCCGUUUACACCACUACCAAUUUGUAUUAUGGCCGACCAAGAAAGGAAACAAAAAAAAACAAUCAGAUUCAGCAAAUCAGAUUCAGCUAAGGAAUUCGGCUCUUGAUUCGGCCAAGGGAAAUCCAAACAGGCCACACACUUGCCAAUUUUCUCCUCACAGCCCACAAAGCUCACAAAUUAUGAGUAGAUAAUUUCGGACAAGCAGCCGCUUCCCUCUCUCUCUCCUUUUUUUUUUCGUUUCAAGACGCCUCUAGAACAACCCUAAUGACUCCCACGGACAACCCUCCAGUUGUGGCAGCCGCACACAAACACAACACGCACGAUGGCAGAUUCGACUCAAGACAACAAAAGAGAGACGCAAAACAGAAAUUUUCACGUAAGGCCUGGAGGAAACAAUUGCGGACUGACCUUGAACAGAUUGUAGCCGCUUUCGGACAGAAAAUUUGUCUCUCAACCACGACAAGCUACAUCAAACUUGUGCGGACAGAUUAGAGACACUUGAACAGAUUUUUUUUUUUUUUUUUUUGGAAUGAAGGCUCAAACGGACAGACCUGGACACGACUUCAACAACAAGGUGAGAAGCAAGUGCAGACAGAAUUUAGUUCAACAACUCCACGACCAGAAAUUUAACAAUGACCAGAAAAAAUUUUUUUUUGACACACGAGAUCAGAUUUAAUAACAAACGAAUAUGACUCGAAACAAAGCGGAAAGGAAGGAUAUAACCUGAUGGUUGUCGACUAGCUCUGAUUACCAAUUGAUGUGAAUCCCCGAUCUAGACAACCAAAACACCAUGGCUUAGGCAGCGGAAAUUUGACCCAACUAAUCCCUAGAAGUCACGAACAAUUUUGAUAUUAUCUCAACCCGUAACUACUCGAAUUAACGAACCAAAUUGGAGGUAGUAGAACGCCACAAUCAAGGAGACUACUUGAUUGAUAAGUUCGAUGAACAACUUGAGAAUGAUUCUCAAGUAUUCAAAGGAAAUUCUCUUGAGGCAAGAGAGAGUGAAAAACUCACAUAUAUUUUAUAAAAUCUGAAUUGUUCUUUAAUGAAUGAAAACCUUGGCUAUAUAUAGCCUUACAGGACUCAAACCCUAGAAUGUCCAAUGGACGACCUUGCCCUUCAUUAAUGGUGAAAAUAUCUAACAACUAAUUAACUAAAAUUAAGACUCUAAAUUCGGCCAAAGUGAAGGGAAAAUUGACCGAAAUUAUUAAUGCUAACAAACAACUAAUAAUGGUAAUUAAAACCCAAAUUAGCAAGCUAGUACUCCGCGAACUAGUCUUCACUUGAAUCUUCCAAUCUGGAAUGGGCCUUGGUCUUUAUAUUCUCAUCAUUGAAUGGGCCUUGGUCUUUAUAUUCUCAUCACUUAGCACCUAGUAAAUUAAUCCCAAUAUCCCAAACUGAACCUAAUUGGCCGAAUUUUUCACACUAGCGGGUCCCACGUCCGGUAUACACUCUUAAUUUCUCAAAACCUAACCGAUACUAGAAAAAUAAUCUAAAACCUAUACUUACUCAUAAAAAUUAUCUAGAAAAAUUUUCCUACCAAAGAAAAUGUAGAAAGGGCGUGCAAUUAAAUAAAAUAAAACCUAGAAAAUAAGAAAAUUCACGGCCCUCACAGUUGGGCAGGCGGUUCGCCGAACCCUUUAAUUAGCCUUAGGGUGAGGUGAGGUUAUCACAACCGGAUCCGAACGACAAGAUAAACACGUGUGGUAAUUCUCGAGCAUACCGAUUAGUCGAGAAAAUAGCACUCCACUCAGCAAAACAAGAGACCCAGGGUUCAUUAUCUAAUCGACCAGACCCUUGCUGGUUCGACUCGAGUAACUAGCCACAGGGUUUCUAGAAUUCCAGAGAGUGCGCACAUUAUACACAAGUAUAUCAAGUCAAUUGCAACAAAUAAACAAAUAUAUAUCAAAUUAGGGCAAGUGCGAUAAAGUACAUCCUUGUCCAACCAAACCAAGCAAAUAUUAUCCAAUAAAGUUCAAUCAUGUAUUUGGAAGUACUUACCAAAGACUUAGUGCUUGUCAAAAUCACGCUCAAGUACAACUCCUUGGUUGGAGUCCAAAUUUGCGAUAAAAUAUCAUUUAAGAGUUUAUAAUCCACUAGGGUUCGAAACAUAGGUGUUUCGCUUCAACAAAAUUAAGUAAAUGAAACUUAUUUAAGUAAUAGUUAUAUGGCUUGGCAAACUCUAGAAAAUUCAUGCUCGCUCUUUUAAUUUCGAUAAAGAAGUGAUUUAUACUUUGGAAGUCGCACUUGGUAUGAAAAUCGAGAAAAUCGUAUUUUUAAGGGUCGCUACUUUUACUUUUUAAAGGGUACGACUUUCGACAAAAAUUUCAUCUUAUGUACCUCUUACUAAAGAAAACUCGAAUACCAUAAACAAGCGAAAUUCGCUUCAAUCUCGAGUUCACUUGCCUAACCCUCGAGAGAAAAUUUGGGCAGCAUACCCUUUGUAUUUAUCCAUUUUUCCAUCUAAAUACAACUUGGAUUCACAAACCAUCAAACCUCCAAUCCAACCACAAGUGAUAAUCAACAAAAUAUAUCUAUUCAAGGCCUCAAAGCCAACCAAACAAACCAAAUAAUAAACUUAUCACCAUGGAUAUCAAAGUUGGAAACCAGUUUAAAGAAGAACUUAUAAAUGGCAGAUUUGUCAUCCUUCGGUGUUUUGGUCAUAACUGUAGUUAGGUAUAUCAGAUCAAGGUAAAUUUUAUGGCAUUUUGAAAUUAAGACAUAGACCUACAUUUUCUAUGAAGAUAUCGACACCCAAUUCUCGCAUUUUUAGGAUGAAAAUUGGACGAGUAGAAACAUAUGAAAAACAGGUCAGGAAAAUUAGAGGUUUUGCGUAGUUGGGAGUGCUCUGGCCAAAUCAUAAGCUAAAAUGAUCCCAUUGAUCUGAAAUUUUGCAGAACUCAAAUCCCUAUAGCUUUCAUGUUUUGUCCAAAAGUUGAUUCAGUCUAAAACAUGGAGAAAUUCGCAGCCUAAGUUGAUUCCAAAAAUAUGGCUAAACUGACAUUCACCACCAAAUGCUGGAAUUUUGCAUAUCAACCCUAAAACUACUCAUCGAAGCUGAAAAUUGCUUGACAAAACUGAAAUUUCAUCUUUUAACGCUAAAUAUCACAAUCAAGCCACUUAUCAUCUCACAAAUUUCAUUUUCAAGGUCAAUACCAACAUAUUAGAGAUAAACAUCAUAAAUCAAAAUUGAAAAAUUACAAAUCUUAGAUGAAAUUCGCUAAUCUUUACCAAAACUAGAGUAUCAUCCAACAUAAUUCAAGAUUCAAAAUAUCUGUCUCAUAUUUUGCUAAAACAAGAAAGAAAAAGGAAGUUUUAGACUUAUAUCUUCCAAAACACUUGAAGAAAGUGAAGAACCAAGCUAUUUCUCUCCAAACAACUCCACAACAAGCUUCUUUAGCUCCUUGGUGCUAGUUUAAUCGGUUUAGUUUUGUGGUUUCAACUCAAACAAGGCAAGAUUCAAGAUUGGAGUUGGAGGUUUUCUCUCUUGUUUUUCUCUCCCAAUUUUCGGCCAACACAAGAAGAGCAUAAAGAAAAAUGAACCAAGAAGAAAAAAAACUUGUUUGGUCAACCAACCCUUGGAUCUUUGACACUUGUCAAAGCCAAGUUUUCUCCUUUUUUUUCCUUUUCCUCAGUCAACAAAGAUGGCUGGAUUAAGAGGUAAUUUAAGGAGGAUUAGACGAAAUAAAAAUAAGAAGAUUAGGGUAAGAAAGUAGUGAUCAAGUGAUGUACUCAAUCGAUAACAAACGGUACACGUCGGCUCAAGAUUAUUUUCUUUAACUCGCUCGUACUUAUGUUUUAACUUAUGAUUCACUAACUUAUUAAUAGCAUUUCUAAUCACACACUUUCUCUUAUCUAAAACUCACUCUUAACCACCAAAUUUAGUACACACAUCUCACCAAGUGAUCGCACGGCCAAAAAUACGUAAAAAUCCUAAUUUACCCUAACUAUAAAAGUAAAGAUAAAACUCUCGAUUUUAUUAUUUAUUACAACUAGGGAGGGAGUAAUUUAGUGGUAAAGAUAUUAUAAAGUAACUUAUUCAAAAUAAAAGGGUAUUAUAAGAAAAAUAUAGGUGAAUUUUCAAGUCGUCACACUCUCUUCCCCUUAAAAGAUUUUCGAUCUUGAAAUUCAUAAAUUUAGUCGUAACCAACUCAGGGUAUUUUUCUUGCAUGUCCGUCUCUAGCUCUCAGGUCUCACCAUAGCCAAAAUUUUAGCCAGACAAUGGGAAACAUGAAUCGUACCUUCUACCACUCUAGCACCCCUGAUUUCGCCAACCUCCAUCUCUCUUUUGAAAAAUGAUACACUAUAUAGAUAUAAGCAAAAGAAAUGAGCUAUAAAGUUCGAUAAAAGAAAUUUCAAAUCAUAAAAUGAAAAUAAUAUAGCACAUUUAAAAUAAAACAUUCUCCUUAUAUAUAUGAUCACAUACCUUAUGGGACAUGAACUCCAAAUAUUGUUCAAACACUACACUUAAUCAAAACUUGAAAAAGUACAACCAGGUAUGUACACUUGAAUAAUAAGGGUCCCAAAUCUCACUAAUAUUUUCAAUAUCUCCCAAGUCCAAACUAUUCGCAUUCCCCGUAUCUUGGCUUUCGCCAUCCAGACUUAUCCUAAAAUUAUUCGGGAUAUCGACUUAUCAUAAAGGUAUCUCUCUUUGGUAAUCGGGUACAAGAAUCCGAAAAUAUGAUAAUCCAUCACUUGAGUUAGCUAGUCUCAAAAGAAAAUCAACUACUUUUGAAAUUCCUACCCAACAUACAUAUCUAAGGUCCCCAACAAUAGACAUUUGUUCCACACUUAACAAACCAAUCCCCACAGUCCGAGAACCCUCUCCCGACACGAGCUCGAUAAGAGCUCUGAUACCAUCUGUGUCGACCCCACCCCCCCUUAGUUCAUACCCUAGGGUUUAGCGGACCGCUUGUCCAACUCUCGUCAGGACUCGCUCACUUACGUGAAAUAAAAUAGUUCACAACCUCAAGCGUAAAUGGAAUAAUAGUUCUCAAGUUUGGAACAUAUAUGUACAUUCAUCUCUAGUCCAAACAUUCAUACAAUUCCAAAUAUAACAAAAGAUAUGAAUUCCAGAUACAUUCAACCCUAACUGAGCACUAGCACGAAUACAAUCGCAAAAAUUCAAAAACCAGACUAUGCUAGUCUGUACCAGUCUCACGCUCUCGCUCGUACCUCUUGUAAGAAAAACAAAUUUAACGGAAUAGAGUGAGCUAAAACUCAGUGAGGUUUCAAAACUUCAUGCAGAUCCAAGUAGCAAGUUGGCCAUAUGUAAAAUUUGAACUCUUAAAAUAAGCGAGUGUGAAAGUUCAGAAAAAGAAACAAUAACACGACAAGUAAUAAUUAUUUCAAAGAUAAGGAUACAGAUGGUUUUUGAAGAGCCAAAUUUCCGUUGCUUCCUCAUAACUUGAUCGAGUAGUAGUUGACACUCCAUCAACUUUUAAAUAAAGUAACUAGUCCAGUAGUACACCACUUUAACUUCAAUCUCCGUCCACCAAUCAACCCCCUUACCGGACCCGAACGACAAGAUAAACACGUGUGGUAAUACUAGAACAUGCCGAUUAGUCGAGAAGAUAAUACUCCACUCGAUAAAACAAGAAACCCAGGGCUUAUUACCUAAUCGACCAGGCCCUUGCCGACUCGACUCGAGUAACUAGCCAUAGGUUUUCUGGAAUUCCAGAGAGUGCGCACAUUAUAAACAAGUAUAUCAAGUCAAUUGCAACAAAUAAACAAGUAUAUAUCACAUUAGUGCAAGUGUGAUAAAGUACACCCUUGUCCGACCAAACCAAGCAAAUAUUAUCCGAUAAAGUUCAAUCAUGUAUUUGGAAGCACUCACCAAAGACUUAGUGCUUGUCAAAAUCGUGCUCAAGUGCAACUCCUUUCUUGGAGUCCAAAUCUGCGAUAAAAUAUUAUUUAAGAGUUUAAAAUCCACUAGGGUUCGAAACAUAGGAGUUUCAAUUCAAGAAAAUCAAGAAAAUGAAACUUAUUUAAGUAGUAGUUAUAUGGUUUGGCAACUGUAGAAAAUUCACGCUCGCUCUUUAAUUUCGAUGAAGAAGUGAUUUAUACUUUGGAAGUCGCACUUGGUAUGAAAAUUGAGAAAAUCGUAUUUUUAAGAGUCGCUACUUUUACUUUUUAAAGGGUAUGAGUUUCGACAAAAAUUUCAACUUAUAUACCUCUUACUAAAGAAAACUCGAAUACCAUAAACAAGCGAAGUUCGCUUCAAUCUCGUGUCGUCGCUCAAGUCUCGAGUUCACUUGCCUAACCCUCGAGCGAAAAUUUGGGCAGCAUGCCCUUUGUAUUUAUCCAUUUUUCCAUCCAAGUACAACUUGGAUUCACAAGCCAUCAAACCUCCAAUCCAACCACAAGUAAUAACCAACAAAAUAUAUCUAUUCAAGGCCUCAAACCAACCAAACAAAUCAAAUAAUAAACUUAUCACCAUGGAUAUCAAAGUUGAAAACCAGUUUAAAGAAGAACUUAUAAAUGACAGAUUUGUCAUCCUUUGGUGUUUUGGUCAUAACUGUAGUUGGGUAUAUCGGAUUGAGGUAAAUUUUAUAGCAUUUCGAAACUAAGACAUCGACACCCAAUUCUCGCAUUUUUAGGAUAAAAAAUGGACGGGUAAAAACACAUGAAAAACAGGUCAGGAAAAUUAGAGGUUUUCCUCAGUCGGGAGUGCUCGAGCCAAAUCAUAAGUUAAAAUGAUCCAAUUAAUCUGAAAUUUUGCAAGUAGAAAGCUAACUCAAAUCCCUAUAACUUUCAUUUUUUGUCCAGAAGCUGAUUCACUCUAAAAUAUGGAGAAAUUUGCAUAUCGACCCUAAAACUACUCAUCGAAGCUUAAAAUUGCUUGACAAAACUGAAAUUUUAUCUUUUAACGCUAAAUAUCACAAUCAACCCGCUAAUCAUCUCAUAAAUUCCAUUUCCAAGUUCAAUACCAAUAUAUUAGAGAUAAACAUCGUAAAUCAAAACUGAAAAAUCACAAAUCUUAGAUGAAAUUCGCUAAUCUUCACCAAAACUAGAGUAUCAUCCAACAUAAUUCCAGAUUCAAGACAUCUAUCCCAUUUUUUUGGUAAACAAGAAAAAAAAAAGAAAGUUUUAGACUUAUACCUUCCAAAACACUUGAAGAAAGUGAAGAACCAAGCUAUUUCUCUCCAAACAACUCCAGAACAAGCUUCCUUAGCUCCUUGGUGCUAGUUUAAUCGGUUUAGUUUUGUGGUUUCAAUUGAAAUAAGGCAAGAUUCAAGAUUGGAGUUGGAGGUUUUCUCUCUUGUUUUUCUCUCCCAAUUUUCGGCCAACACAAGAAGAGAAUGAAAAAAAAUGAACCAAGAAGAAGGAAAAGAAGAAAAAAAACUCGUUUGGUCAACCAACCCUUGGAUCUUUGAUACUUGUCAAAGCCAAGUUUUCUCCUUUUUUUUCCUUUUCCUCAGUCAACAAAGAUGGCUGGAUUAAGAGGUAAUUUAAGGAGGAUUAGACGAAAUAAAAACAAGAAGAUUAGGGUAAGAAAGUAGUGAUCAAGUGGUGUACUCAAUCGAUAACAACCGGUACACGUCAGCUCAAGAUUAUUUUCUUUAACUCGCUCGUACUUAUGUUUUAAAUUAUGAUUCACUAACUUAUUAAUAGCAUUUCUAAUCACACACUUUCUCUUAUCUAAAACUCACUCUUAACCACCAAAUUUAGUAUACACGCCUCACCAAGUGAUCACACGGCCAAAACACGCGAAAAUCCUAGUUUAGCCUAACUAUAAAAGUAAAAAUAAAACUCUCGAUUUUAUUAUUUAUUACAACUAGGGAGGGAGUAAUUUAGUAGUAAAGAUAUUAUAAAGUAACUUAUUCAAAAUAAAAGGGUAUUAUAAGAAAAAUGUAGGUGAAUUUUCAAGUCGUCACACUCUCUCCCCCUUAAAAGAUUUUCGAUCUCGAAAUUCAUACAUUUAGUCGUAACUAAUUCAGGGUAUUUUUCUUGCAUGUCCGUCUCUAACUCUCAGGUCUCACCAUAACCAAAAUUUUAGCCAAAUAAUGGGAAACAUAAAUCAUACCUUCUACCACUUUAGCACCCCUGACUUCACCUACCCUCCAUGUCUCUUUUGAAAAACGAUACACUAUAUAGAUAUAAGCAAAAGAAAGGAAUUAUAAAGUUCGAUAAAAGCAAUUUCAAAUCAUAAAAUGAAAAUAAUAUAGCACAUUUAAAAUAAAAUAUUCUCCUUAUAUAUAUGGUCACAUACCUUAUGGGACAUUAACUCCAAGUAUUGCUCAAACAUAACACUUAAUCAAAACUCGAAAAAAUACAACCGGGUAUGUAUACUUGAAUAAUAAGGGUCCCAAAUCUCACUAAUAUCUUCAAUAUCUCCUAAAUCAAGACUAUUCGCAUUCCCCGUAUCUUGGCUUUCCCCAUCCACACUUAUCCUAAUAUUAUUCGGGAUAUCGACUUAUCAUAAAGGUAUCACUCUUUGUUACUCGGGUACAAUAAUCCGAAAAUAUGAUAAUCCACCACUUGAGUUAGCUAGUCUCAAGCGAAAAUCAAUCACUUUUGAAAUUCCUACCCAAAAUACAUAUUUAAGAUCCCCAACAAUAGACAUUUGUUCCACACUUAACAAGUCAAUCCCCACAGUCCGAGAACCCUCUCCCGACACGAGCUCGAUAAGAGCUCUGAUACCAUCUGUGACGACCCCACCUCUCCCUAGGGUGUACCCCAGACUUUAACGGACCGCCUGCCCAACUCUCGCAGGACUCGCUCACUUACGUCAAAUAAAAUAGUUCACAACUUCAAGCGUAAAUAGAAUAACAGUUCCCAAGUUUGGAACAUACAUGUACAUUCAUCUCUAGUCCAAACAUUCAUACAAUCCCAAAUAUAACAAAAGAUAUGAAUUCCAGAUACAUUCAACCCUAAUCGAGCACUAGCGCGAAUACAAUCGCAAAAAUUCAAAAACUAGACUAUGCUAGCCUGUACCAGUCUCAUGCCCUCACUCGUACCUCCUGUAAGGAAAACAAAUUUAACGGAAUAUAGUGAGUUAAAGCUCAGUGAGGUUUCAAAACUUCAUGCAAACCCAAGUAGCAAAUUGGUCAUAUGUAAAACUUGAACUCUUAAAAUGAGCGAGUGUAAAAGUUCAUAAAAAAAAUAACAGGACAAGUAAUAAUUAUUUCAAAGAUAAGGAUACAUAUGGCUUUCAAGAGCCAAAUUCCCACUGCUUCAUCAUAACUUAAUCAAGUAGUAGUUGACACUCCCUCAACUUUCAAGUAAAGUAACCAUUCUAGUAGUACACCACUUUAACUUCAAUCUCCGUCCACCAAUCAGCCCCCUUACCGGACCCGAACGACAAAAUAAACACGUGUGGUAAUACUCGAACAUACCGAUUAGUCGAGAAGAUAGCACUCUACUCGACAAAACAAGAGACCCAGGGUUCAUUACCUAAUCGACCAGGCCCUUGCCGGCUCAACUCGAGUAAGUAGCCACAGGGUUUCUGAAAUUCCAGAGAGUGCGCAUAUUAUAUACAAGUAUAUCAAGUCAAUUGCAACAAAUAAACAAGUAUAUAUCACAUUAGAGCAAGUGUGAUAAAAUACACCUUUAUCCGACCAAACCAAGCAAAUAUUAUCCGAUAAAGUUCAAUCAUGUAUUUGGAAGCACUCAUCAAAGACUUAGUGCUUGUCAAAAUCACGCUCAAGUACAACUCCUUGGUUGGAAUCCAAAUCUGUGAUAAAAUAUCAUUUAAAACCUUAAAAUCCACUAGGGUUCGAAACAUAGGAGUUUCGCUUCAAGAAAAUCAAGUAAAUGAAACUUAUUUAAGUUGUAGUUAUAUGGCUUGGCAAACUCUAGAAAAUUUAUGCUCGCUCUUUUAAUUUCGAUAAAGAAGUGAUUUAUACUUUGGAAGUCGCACUUGGUAUGAAAAUCGAGAAAAUCGUAUUUUUAAGAGUCGCUACUUUUACUUUUUAAAGGGUAUGAGUUUCGGCAAAAAUUUCAACUUAUGUACCUCUUACUAAAGAAAACUCGAAUACCAUAAACAAGCGAAGUUCGCUUCAAUCUCGUGUCGUCGCUCAAGUCUCGAGUUCACUUGUCUAACCCUCGAGCAAAAAUUUGGGCAGCAUGCCCUUUGUAUUUAUCCAUUUUCCCAUCCAAGUACAACUUGGAUUCACAAGCCAUCAAACCUCCAAUCCAACCACAAGUAAUAACCAACAAAAUAUAUCUAUUCAAGGCCUCAAACCAACCAAACAAAUCAAAUAAUAAAAUUAUCACCAUGGAUAUCAAAGUUGAAAACCAGUUUAAAGAAGAACUUAUAAAUGGCAGAUUUGUCAUCCUUCGGUAUUUUGGUCAUAACUGUAGUUAGGUAUAUCGGAUCGAGGUAAAUUUUAUGGCAUUUUGAAAUAAGAUAUAGAAUUACAUUUCCUAUGAAGACAUUGACACCCAGUUCUCGCAUUUUUAGGAUAAAAAAAGGACGGGUAGAAACACAUGAAAAACAUGUCAGGAAAAUUAGAGGUUUUACGCAGUCGGGAGUGUUCUGACCAAAUCAUAAGCUAAAAUGAUCCAAUUGAUCUGAAAUUUUGCAGGUAGAAUGUUAACUCAAAUCCCUAUAAUUUCCAUGUUUUGUCAAAAAACUGAUUCAAUCUAAAACAUGGAGAAAUUCGCAGCCCAAUUUGAUUCCAAAAACAGGGCAUAACUGAUAUUCACCACCAAAUGCUGGAAUUUUGCAUAUCAACCCUAAAACUACUCAUCGAAACUGAAAAUUGCUUGACAAAGCUGAAAUUUCAUCUUUUAAUGCUAAAUAUCACAAUCAAGCUGCUAAUCAUCUCACAAAUUCCAUUUCCAAGCUCAAUACCAGUAUAUUAGAGAUAAACAUCAUAAAUCAAAACUGAAAAAUCACAAAUCUUAGAUGAAAUUCGCUAAUCUUCACCAAAACUAGAGUAUCACCCAACAUAAUUCCAAAUUCAAGACAUCUAUCCCAUUUUUUUGCUAAAACAAGAAAGAAAAAGGAAGUUUUAGACUUAUACCUUCCAAAACAUUUGAAGAAAGUGAAGAACCAAACUAUUUCUCUCCAAACAACUCCACAACAAGCUUCCUUAGUUCCUUGGUGCUAGUUUAAUCGGAUUAGUUUUGUAGUUUCAACUCAAACAAGGUAAGAUUCAAGAUUGGAGUUUGAGGUUUUCUCUCUUGUUUUUCAAUUCAAAAAAAAUUUAUUUGGUCAACCAACCCUUGGACCUUUGACACUUGUCAAAGCCAAGUUUUCUCUCUUUUUUUUCUUUUCUUUCCGUUUCCUCAGUCAGUAAAGAUGACUGGAUUAAGAGGUAAUUUAGGGAGGAUUAGGUGAAAGAAAAAAAAGAAGAUUAGGGUAAGAAAAUGGUGGUCAAGUGGUGUACUCAAUCGAUAACAAACGGUACACGUCGGUUUAAGCCUAUUUUCCUUAACUCGCUAGUACUUGUGCUUUAACUUAUGAUUCACUAACUUAUUAAUAGCACUUCUAAUCACACACUUCCUCUUAUCAAAAACUCACUCUUAACCACCAAAUUUAGUACACAUACCUCACCAAGUGAUCACACGACCAAAAUACGCGAAAAUCCUAGUUUACCCUAACUAUAAAAGUAAAGAUAAAACUCUUGAUUUUAUUAUUUAUUACAACUAGGGAGGGAGUAAUUUAGUAGUAAAGAUAUUAUAAAGUAAAUUAUUCAAAAUAAAAGGGUAUUAUAAGAAAAAUAUUGGUGAAUUUUCAAGUCGUCACGCUUGCCAUGUGAAACAAACAUAUUAGAUGAUGCCCUAAACAUUGCAAUAUGAUUUCCAAGGGUGGUUGUUUAGACUUCAUGUAUAGAUAUAUCAAUUAUGCUAAAAAGCAAGUAUAAGAUCAAUUAGUUUAUUGAAAAAAAUAGCAAUCAAUCUUCAGUCAGAAGCAUAAAAAUUGUAAUUUAUGAUUAUGUCAGAACAAAAGUCACACGCAAAGAAAGAAUUCACCUACCAAAUUAUACUCUAGACAAAGAAUUUGUUCUACAAUAAGAUGGCGAUAAUAGAAUUAAAGAAAAUAGCUUUAGUCAAAGUGAAUUUCCUUGAGACUUUGUUGGGUUAACACCAUGUAUCCAAGAUAGAAGAUUUAACAGUAUUAAGGAGAAAGACUACCAUCUCAAGCAUGCCAUCAUAGGCCGAAAAAGGUGUCAUAUAUAUGAUAGGAUAUUUUCCUUUCACAUAAUUCACCACAGACCCUCCCACUAGAUGGCAACACUUCUCGAAGAAAUUAGCAUUCAACACAUCUGGUCCAAGCGCCUUAUCAGCCUUAAUGUUAAAAAUUGCUCUUUUAACCUUCGUUUCAGUUACCGGGUGAGUUAGCACUCUUAUUCUUCCCUCGUCAAUAAUGGGGAAUCUGUUAUUCUGCUUCAUCACUUCCUCCCUAAUCCAUUCCUUAACCCGGAUAAUGACUAUUUAAGCACCUCUGGAAGUAGAUAAAAAGAGAUGGCAAAGUAAGCAUUUCAUUUAAAUACUACUUUCUAUGUGCUCUAUCACUCAUCCCAUCACAACAAGGCAGGCCUACCCAAGGAAAAAAGAAAUCACAACCAGGAUUGUAUUCACUUCUAUGUUAGGUAACCUCAUCACUAAACACAAGUAAGAGCUUGUUUCCAUUGAGAAUGAGGGCUCUCCAAAGAGGACUAGUUUUCUAUUCUUACUUACCUACCUUAUUUGUAUAUAAAUGAAAGAAAAAAGAGUCAAAAUUUCAACAAUUACACAACCCACUUCCCUAUUUUCUACUUUGGAAAUAAGUUCCAAUAGCUAUAGAACGGCCUUAGGAGUAGGAGAUAGACACUUAAGUAGUCUUACCAUAAGUCUUACUCGGAAAUAAAAAAAAAAUACAAAUAGAAGAGUGAAAUGGUAGAAGUAGAUUCAGUUGAUGAAAGAAUGCACACAACUCCAACUUUGACAAGUUAGCAUAAAGGAAAGGUGGUGCUAAAAAAGGACUUCUACCAAUCUUAAACAAAAGACUACAAAGAAGACAGCAACCGCAUGACGAGGAAAAGUGACUUACUUGAAUGGGGAACUAUCCUAUAACACUAAGAAGUGGGGGACGCUAUAGCUGCCAAAUCUUCUACACGUAUAUGUACUAACCUUGAUCGUUACAAAGGGUGACGUUAUCAUAUCGAGGUAGUUCUUUCGAUAAGAAGAUCAAUUUAUUGUUUACCCCUUAGACCUUUUGAAGAUGGUUCUGUUACUAAUAUGUUUAUGUCAAUUGUAGAUAAUGUAUUUGGGUUCAAAACUCUGCGUACUUUACGUCUAAAAUACCUCUUAGCACUACAAAAAAAAGACCUGUUUAUGAUGACGAAAAGUUGCCACAAUAACUAGAAUAUUCGUCAGUAAAACUUUUUGUGAUGGCAACUUCAUCACAUGACCUCCAUCCAAGAUACCCCGUGGCUAAAAGGUUUUUGUGACAACAAAAUGUUGUCGUCACAGAGAAAUCGUGACAGCACUAUCUGUUCAUCAUUCCUUUCAUGUACUUGUGACGACAAAGCGUCACAAUAAAUGGUUUAUGGCUUGUCACAAAACUGUUAUGUCAUCACAAAAAUACUACAUUUAUUGUUUUAAUAAAGUUUUUGUGGCAACCUUUUCAUCACAAAAAGUCCAAAAUAUUUUUGUAACAACGGCUCUUGCAAUGAAAUCAUCAUCACAAUAACUACUAUUUUCUUGUGAUGGCGUUUCUAACUUUGUUGUCACCAAAACUUUUGGUAUAAAAUCUCUUACAAAAGGACAUUCCAUUCUAUUAUGACAAUAAAAUGUGUCAUAAGAAAUCCUGCUGCAUAGGCUAUUAACGUGCCAUAUCAAAAAUUAACCAUACAAUAUAAUCCGGUAUUAAAAUGGUUACAGCCACAAGUGUCAUCAUAAUAGAAGUCAACAUCUAAACUUUUCAUAGUAUGUUUAGACAUACAUGUCUAGCACAAAACAACCAAAAGUAUAGUUUCAAAAUAAGCAAACUACUGGAGCUUCUAAGCAGUAGUGAAGCAUACUUUCAACAGUUUCAAAUUUCAAAAGGGUGCGUUUACUCCUAAACAUGUACAUUGAGGUAGAUGUUGCUAUCCAGGAGAGAAGUCCUACAAAUAUCGACCCAAAAAGUUAGACAAAAGCAUUGUGUUGAACCUAAAAUGAAAACAAAAAUUGAACUCAUUGUCCAAAAGACCACAAAGUAUGAAAAGGAAAAGAUCAUAAAGAACAUGCUAGGCAAUUUGAUGAUAAAGAAUCUCAUACACAUCAAAUUGCUUAGAGCAUUCAAAUUAGCAUUAAUGGAUUGGUAUUUACAUUGGAGUGCCAAAGGAAAGAUUUAAACAAAUUGCAUUAGUAACCAUGAUCAUAAAAGUGCAUAGAUUUUACUUGAAGUCAGAAAGCACAUUAACUAUGAAUCUCAUUUCAAUAUAAAUAGUAUAUGCCAAGUGCGACACUUAUAUCUGAAUUUACUAGCUAAUUUAAGCAUGUCACAUGCAUAAUUUUGGCACUACCAAUAAGUUAUUUAUAUAAAUUCUCAUGAAUGUAUCAUACUAAUCUAAUUCCAUGACAUGCUAAGAACUUAAAGUAUCAAGGAAUAUAAGACUUGCCUCCUUUAGAGGCAAAUUAUAACCCACAUGAUUGACUCUAAAGUGAUUGAUAUUCUAAUUAAUUGAUUGAUAUUUUGUUAAUAAUUAAUUAGUAUCUCCCAUUAGACAAUGAUUGGUGAUUGAUAUCCUGAUUAAUUGAUUGACAUUUUGUUAAUAAUUAAUUAGUAUCUUCCAUUUGUUAAUGAUUGAUUGAUAUCUACUGUUAAUUGACGUCUUAUUCAAUCAGUUAAUCAAUCAAUUAGUCAGAAAAUAUUAUUUCAGUUAUGAAUUUUGGCAAGAUUUCCUUAAUAGAAGGAAACCCUAGGGAUUUUUGUAUUUGCCUGUAAGGGUCCCUAAUCUAACCUAUAAAUAACCUAUGAUAUUCCAUCAAUUGUACAUCUUUUGGUUAGGUAUAGGCCAGAAGAUCCUUACUCGAAAUUCUCCUUCUAUUUUUCUCUUCUUCUAUACAUCUACAUAGUUUCUUUGUCCACAUAGAUAAGAACAAGGCAAGAAGACAACGAAUAGAAAGUAUUAAUCUCUAUUCAACAACAAUGGUUGGAGGUAAAUCAUUUAAAUUUUUGCUAUUUAGUACAAUUUAUUUGUACUUAUUUGGUGUCACAUAUGGUAUUAGAGCCACCCUCUAACCAUGUUGUUUAACAUAUAAUUUCAUGAUUUGUUGGCAAUUUGAGAAAAUCUACAUAGAUUCAUUUAAUAUUAAAUAAAUCAAAUUCAAUUUGUUAUGGGAUCUAUGUAUCCAUUAUCUCAAUAAUUGAGAAUUAACGGCUAAUCCCAUGUAUAUAUAUCAUCCUUGUGAUGAUUUAUUUGUCAUGCAAGUAUGUAUCAUACAUAUAUCGUUGGGAUGAUAUUUAAUCUUCAUUUGGUUAUGCUUGUAUAUGACAACAUAACUAAUUAUAUCUUGCAUGAAUUAUGGUUAGUAUACUUGUACCUUUUGACUUUGCAUCAUGUAUGCUAAAUAAAUGUUGAACCUUGCUUUUGGGGCACUUUAUGAGUUCUAUUCAAAUAACUCCAUGCCUCUUGAAAUUGUGAUUAAUAAUUGGCAUCAGUAAUUUGUUUGUUUGCUGCACUUUCGCCUAAUUAUUUAAAAUAUAAUUUGUGACAUUUAUCAACUUUUCAUUUUUGUCACCCAUUUAGAUGUUAUCAUAAAGAUUUUGCAUCUUGUAUUUAAGAGUGGCCACAUCAUCUUGUAUGCUUGAUGAUUAGAAUUUUAAUCAAAUAAAUGUCUAGUGAUUAAAUGAAUAACAUCUAAUUAAGUAAGCAAUUAAUUUAUUAAAAUUAUCACUUAGUCCAUAGGAAAGUGAUAGUUUUAAUAAGAUUAGUUGAAAUAAGAUGGAAAAUUUAACACUGUGUUAAGAGAUUUUCCUAAAACCACAGGUAUAGAAAGUUUCUAUUUUUAUAGUUUUAAUUUACUAGUCUUAUUAUAAAGAAAGUAAAUUUAAUGCAUGUUUGACAACCUCUACCUACAGGAAGGUUUGAAUUUAUUAUUUGAAUUAACAUUGGUUAAUUCAAUCCUUAUGUCUUAAAUUUCAUCGCAAUAAUGUAUGUUUAUUCUUGGAUAUUGCAGUUUUUCUACCAUUACUCUUUUUAAUGAUUCAUCUCGUAUUCCAAUGCUAUCCGGUGAAAACUACGCUGAAUGGAAGGACAAGAUUCUUAUAACUUUAGGGUGCGUGGAUCUUGAUUUGGCACUUCGUGAGAAUGAACCACCCAUUUUCACGGAAUCUAGUUUGUCAAAUGAAAAGGCUGCUUAUGAGCUAUGAGAGCGAUCUAAUCGCUUGAGUUUGAUGCUCAUUAAGUCGUAUAGCAGUCUAAGCAUUAGGGGUUCAAUUCCUGAUUGUGACCGAGUCAAAGCUUACAUGAAAGUAAUUGAUGAACAAUUUGUAAGAUCUGACAAGAUUUUGGCUAGCACCCUUAUAAAGAAAUUUGCAAGCAUUAUACUUGACAAAAAUAAGAGUGUGCGCGAGUAUAUUAUGGAAAUGAGGGAUAUUGCUGCUAAACUAAAGUCCCUUAAAGUUGAGAUUUCUGAAUCGUUUCUUGUGCAUUUCAUUCUCAACUCUUUUCCAUCGAAAUAUACUCCAUUUAAGAUCUCUUAUAACAUACAUAAAGAAGAAUGGUCAAUUAAUGAACUCUUGACCAUGUGUGUUCAAGAAGAGGAGAGAUUGAAACAUGAGACACCAGAAAGCGUUCAUCUUGUGACUCAUGGUAAAGGAAACACAAAGAAAGGAAAAGGCAAGAUCGUUUUUAUGAAAAAAAGAUGGCAAUAAAGAUAAAUGCCAUUUUUGCAAAAAGAAAGGGCAUUGGAAGAAAGAUUGCCUCAAGUACAAGAAGUGGCUUGAAAAGAAAGAUAAUCUCAUUUUUGUGUGCUAUGAAACUAACUUCACUGAAGUUUCUAAUAAUGUUUGGUGGAUUGAUUGUGGCUCUACAAUUCACAUUUCCAAAACUAUGCAGGGAUUUCUGAACAUAAGAAAGCCGUUGGGAAGUGAACAAAACAUCUAUUCUAAAAAAGGAUGCGUUCAUCCGUUGAAGGCGUGGGGACCUAUAGACUCGUUUUAAAGACUGAUUUUCAAUUAGAUCUUGAAAAUGCCUUUUAUGUUCCAUCCUUUUCUAGAAAUUUAAUUUCUCUUUCUAGACUAUCUAUUAUUGGAUAUGAUUCCAAUUCUCAUCUUUCAACUAUGAAUCUUUUGAAAAAUAAUAAAAUUAUUAGUUCUGCUAAUUUGGAUGGAAUGUUAUUUAAACUUGAGUUAGACCCCAUAUACGAAUAUAGCCUUUUAACUAUGCAUGGUACUGGUACUAAACGCAGUAUUAUCAAUGAGAACUUUCUGAAACUUUGGCAUAAGAGAUUGGGACAUAUCUCCAUUGAUAGAAUAAAAAAGGUUAGUGAAUGAUGGAGUCCUAGAGACUUUAGAUUUCAUUGACUUUAGUACUUGUGUAGGCUGCAUAAAGGGUAAGCAAACUAAUAAGAUCUCAAAAUUUGCCAAAAGAAGUUCUUAAUUACUUGAGAUUAUACACAUAGACAUCUGUCAACCUUUUCCUACCCCUUACUUGAAUUGUCAGGGAUAUUUUAUCUCAUUUAUAGAUGAUUAUUCAAAAUUUAUGUAUCUUUAUCUCUUGUUUGAUAAAUCAGAAGCACUUGAUGCUUUUAAAAUUUUCAAACUAGAGGUAGAGAAAUAGAAGAAAAAGAAAAUCAAAAUUGUGAAAUCAGAUAAGGGUGGCGAAUAUUAUGGAAGACACACAGAUAAAGGACAAGCAUAUGGUCCAUUUACUAAGUUUCUCCAAGACGAAGGUAUUGUUGCUCAAUAUACAAUGCCUGACACACCGCAACGAAAUGGUGUAGCUGAAAGGAGAAAUCGAACUCUCAUGGACAUGGUUAGAAGUAUAAUUAGGAGCACUAGUUUAUCUUUAUCCUUAUGGAGUGAAGCUUUAAAAAUAGUUGUGUAUAUUUUGAAUAGGGUACUAUCCAAGGCUGUCCCUAAGACGGCUUUUGAAAUUUGGAAUGGAUGAAAAUCUAGUUUAAAACAUUUACACAUAUGGGGUUGUCCAGUUAAAGUGAGGGUAUAUAACCCACACAUUAAGAAAUUGGAUGAACAUAGAGUUAGUGGUUUCUUCAUAGGCUAUGUUGUUAACUUCAAAGGGUUUAGAUUUUACUAUCCUUCACACACUCUAAAUAUUAUUGAAGCUAGAAAUGCUAAGUUUCUUAAGGAGCACGAAAUCAAUGGGAAUGGUUCUCAAAGGGUGGAAUUUGAAGAAGUAAAGGAUGCACCUAUAUCACCUUUACAUGAUCUAGUUGUUAUUCAAAAUACUGAAGAACAACCAGUUGAGCAACCUCCAUUUGAGCAACCACAAUAAGAACAAUCAACAAUAGUUGAUCCCACUAAUCAAACUCUCCAUGAAACAGUGGGAGUUAGAAGAUCCACAAAAAUUAGAAGGUCAACAAUUUCUAGUGAUUAUGAAGUAUAUCUCCAAGAGUCUGACUAUGAUGUUGGACUUAAGGAUGACUCUAGUUCAUGUUUACAAGUCAUGAAUGGAGAAAACUCCACAUCUUGGUAUAAUGCCACGAAAGAAGAAAUGGAAUCAAUGGCUAAAAAUAAAGUUUGGAAUCUCAUUGAAUUACCCAAAAAGAUCUUUAUUGUGGGUUGGAAAUGGGUUUUCAAAAUCAAAAGAGAUUCAAUAGGUAAUAUCGAACAAUAUAAAGCUAGACUUGUAACCAAAGGUUUUACUCAAAAGGAAGAAAUUUACUACCAUAAAACCUUCUCUCCUGUUUCAAAGAAGGAUUCAUUGCAUGUUAUCAUGAUAAUAGUAGCCCACUUUGAUUUGGAACUACAUCAAAUGGAUGUGAAAACGAUGUUCCUUAAUGGGGAUCAUGCAGAAGAGGUAUACAUGUUUCAACCUGAGGGUUUUGUCAAUAAUGACAACAACCAACUUGUUUGCAAGUUAAAGAAAUCUAUAUAUGGACUAAAACAGGCUUUCCGUCAAUGGUAUAUUAAAUUUCACAACGUUGUCUCUUCAUUUGGUUUUGUAGAGAAUAUUGUUAACCAGUGCAUAUAUCUUAAGACAAAAGGGAGCAAAUAUAUCUUUUUAGUCUUAUAUGUAGAUGAUAUUCUUCUUGCGAGUAAUGAUAUGGGUUUGUUGCAUGAAACUAAAAAGUUUCUUGCACAAAACUUUGAAAUGAAGGAUAUGGGUGAAGCCUCUUAUGUCAUUGGCAUAGAGAUUCAUAGAGAUAGAACAAGAAAAAUUAUUGGUCUGUCUCAAAAGACCUAUAUUGAAAAGGUUUUGGAAAGAUUUGGAAUGAAACACUUCUCUUCCAUGGCAGCUCCCAUUGUCAAAGGAGAAAAUUUCAGUUUGGAUCAAUAUCCUAAAAAUGAGUUGGAACGAAAAGAGAUAGAUAGCAUUUCGUAUGCUUCGUUUGUUGUAAGCCUUAUGUAUGCUCAAGUCUGCACCAGACUUGAUAUUGCUUUCAUAGUUAGAAUGCUAGGUUGGUAUCAAAGUAAUCCUGGAAAGGAUCACUAGAAAGCUGCCAAAAGAGUUUUGAGAUACCUGCAAGGGACCAAGGACUACAGACUUACAUACAAACAGUCUGACUAUUUAGAGAUAGUUGGAUAUUCUGAUUCGGAUGUUGCUGGAUGUAUGAACUUAAGCAAUCUACUUCAGGGUACAUUUUCCUUCUUACUGGAGGAACAGUAUCUUAGAGAUGUAGAAAAGAAAAUUGUUGCAUCAUCCACGAUGGAAGCAGAAUUCAUUGCAUGCUAUGAGACUACAUCACAGGCUUGGUGGUUGAAGAACUUUAUAUCUGGCCUAAAAGUGGUAGAUUCAAUAAGUAGGUCACUGAAGAUCUUUUGUGACAACUCUGUUGCUGUAUUCUUUGUUAAGAACAACAAGAGUGGAAGUCGAAACAAACAUAUCGACAUCAAGUUCUUAAUGGUCAGAGAUCAUGUUAAAAAGCAAGAAGUAAUCAUUGAGCACAUUAAUACUGAAUUAAUGAUUGUUGAUCCUAUGACUAAAGGAUUGCCGGUAAAAGUCUUUCAGGAUCAUGCAACUCGUAUGGGACUGAGUAGCUAAUGCUAGAUUAUUUCUAUUUUCUUGACCAUUUGUGUCUAGACAUUUGUUAUUAAUGUUUGUGCACAUUAAAAUUGAUACAUGUAUAAAGAAAUGAUCUUUUGAUCCAUCAAGUUGGACCCUGAGUAACUUAUACAAAGUUAUUUAUAAAGUUCUUUUAAAGUACUUGAUUAGGAAGUAUAAUAUAGGGUUAAUUCCACUUUGUCCCCCUAAAUUUUGGACGAUUACCCACUUCAGUUCCUAAACUUCAAAAUGAGACACUUAAAUCCCUAAACUUAUAUAUAUCUCCCAAUUAAGGAAAAUUGUUGACAGAAUCCUGAAUGCCGUUGCUGGUCAAAGUGUCCCAUUUUAUAAGUUUAGGGAUUUAAGUGUCCCAUUUUAUAAGUUUAGGGACUUAAGUGUCCCAAUUUAUAAGUUUUAGGGACUUAAGUGUCCAAUUUUAAAGUUUAGGGACUGAAGUGGGUAAUCGUCCAAAGUUUGGGGGGACAAAGUGGAAUUAAACCUAUAAUAUAUUGUAAUACAUCGAAGGAAGUGUUCGCAAUAAGAACAUAACCACCAUGAUUCGAGUAUUAUCAUUUUCUAAUUAAGCAACUGUUCAUAACUAUCGAGUCUAUUGAGUGAUAAUAAAGACUUAUGGCCGCUUAAGCAUCUAGUCACUCAAAGGUUAUCUGACUAUAGCAUGUGGGUCAAAUGGGAGAAUGAAAGAUUUGCCUCCUUUAGAGCCAAAUUAUGACCCACAUGAUUGAUUCUAAAGUGAUUGAUAUUCUAAUUAAUUGAUUGACAUUUUAUUAAUAAUUAAUUAGUAUCUCCCAUUAGACAAUGAUUGGUGAUUGAUAUCCUCAUUAAUUGAUAGACAUUUUAUCAAUAAUUAAUUAGUAUAUUCCAUUUGUUAAAUUUUUUUUUUGUCAAUCGUCAACCCUACUUCUACUCCUACUCUAUUCUAAUCUAACUACGGGGGAGACCCAACUGGGCUUAUGGGGGACUAAUGGGGAUUGGAUUUUUUUUUGAAGAACCACAAUUGUGGCAAAUUGGUGGGAGGCAAGGUUCGAACCCUUGCCUCCCACCCCACCAAAGCCUUAAAGGCUUGGUGGUGGCAAUCAGCCUAAGGCUGAUGGUUAUCUUCCAUUUGUUAAUGAGUAAUUGAUAUCUACUGUUAAUUGAUAUUUUAUUCAAUCAGUUAAUCAAUCAAUUAGUCAGAAAAUAUUAUUUCAGUUAUGAAUUUUGGCAAGAUUUUCUUGAUGGAAGGAAACCCUAGGAAUUUUUGUAUUUGCCUGUAAGAGUUCCUAACCUAGCCUAUAAAUUGCCUGUGGUAUUCCAUCAAUUGUACACCUUUUGAUUAGAUAUAUGUUAGAAGAUUCUUAGUCUAAAUUCUCCUUCUACUUUUCUCUUCUUCUACACAUCUACAUAGUUUCUUUGUCCACAUAGACAAGAACAAGGCAAGAAGACAACUAGUAGAAAGGAUCAAUUUCUGUUCAACAACAAUUACUGAAGGUAAAUCAUUUAAAUUUUCGCUGUUUAGUACAAUUUAUAUGUACUUAUUUGGUGUAACAAGGAAGGCUCAAAUAAUUAUAUGCUAGCGACAAAACAAAAAAUGGCAACUUACAUUAAUUCAAAACAGAACCAUUCUGGUUAGAUCUCUAAACGAGAAACUCUUCCAACCUUUUUUCCAUCGCCUCUUGCUUCUCAUUAAAACUAUUGUUGUAAGUCUCUUGUCGCUGAAAAAGUUCCUCAUAUCGACAUAUUUGUGCUCGUUGACUUUUAAGUUGCACUUUUUGUCUCUCAAGCUAAUCAUUUGCAUUGUGAAGAUUCUCUUUGUACUGGCUUAAUUCUUCUUGUACUGCUCUUGCUGUGGAGAACACAGCGGCUUUAAAAUUGUUGGCAGCCGGAGGAAUUACAACUCCAUAUCCCAUUCUAACCACUUUUUUUGCCAAGAAUGUCACCCAUAAGGCUAGUUUCUUGAAUAUUUUCUUCACCAUUCUCAGUGCUACGCCUUUUCUUCUCGACUAAUUCAAUCUGCAUUUAAUAUUGUGCUACCAUGUGACGUACUGGAUAGAAACAAGUCCUACAAAAAUGAUAUAGUUAUAUACUUAUGAAUUUCAGACUUACGUGUUUUUGCUUAGCCUAGUCAGUAACAAAUUCACCAUUUCGUCGUUUGUGAUUACCUUCCCAAAUAUCAAUUAGCCUCCUAAUUUCCUAUUAAGCACAAUAAAAUCUUAAUUACGAUAAGAAUAAUACUCCUAAAAAAGUCAAAGAAAGAUUCAAAACCUAUUGACAUAUAAUGCAAGUUAAAAGAAUUAGCAUUUGUUGAAUUCGAAUAUGGUUUAAUUUUGAACCACCAAUAUGAGAAAAAGGCAGUUUAGCAGGAUUGGCAGAGUUUAUCACAGGUUUUCUAAUUGAAGAAAAAUAGAGGAAAAUAAAAAUAAAUAUGACUUGAAUUAGUAACAACAUCAAGUGAUACCAUAAUUAAUUUAAUGAGUUAGGUUUGAAGAAUUACCUGAAAUUUGGGAUUUUCAAACCACUCACAUAUAUUAUCCCAUUCAUCUUGCUCAAUCCAAUCAUACGGGUAGGUAUGUGGAUUUUUACCUACUGCCUUCAAGUUUUUGUACUUUUCAUGCAGUUUUAUUUCUCCAAUUCUUAUAAGAAAUUCUUAGCAUAUCAUCAAUGUAGUUGAUCACCAUUGGAUUAGUUUGCCAGUCCUUAAAUUCAAACCAUACAUGUUAAUUAAAAAUAAAAUGAUGAAUCAAUGAUCAGACUUACUUGAAUUGAAUAAAAUACGUAAUUACUUGCCACAAUAGUAUGUGUAUGAUACCAUUAAGCUACCAUAAAGUUCCUCCUUGGUCUCUUCGAGAACCUCAUCAUAUUCGUGCACAUCCUUCACCUUGGCAUGAUGCUUGACUAUAAUACCAAAUGUACUUGCAAAUUUUGAGGCAUAUGUGAUAGGUUUGGAACAUCCUUCAGAAAAGACUAUUUCACAUUACUUGCCUCCCUAGGGAUAUAGUUUUUUGACAGUCAAUGGCAAAAAAUAUCUUACAAAAAAAUAAAAAAAUUUAUAGAGAUUUUUGAAUUAUUUUUGUGUGUGAAUAUGAUAAGCAUUUUAUUCAGUAUACAUUUUCUUCUAUGGCUUGUCGUGUACUUAAACCUCGACCAUUCUUUCGUUUAGGAGGAUCUGCCAUUGUGAGAAAAAAAUCAUAUGAAAUAAACAGAAUCAAAAUUUAAUAAUUAUUCACUUGUUUGAUAAAUUAAUUUUACCUAAUCAGUUCUACACUAUAUAAAGUAAUUUACUCGUUAGAAUUAGUUGCAGGCUGUUGGAUUAGUUCUUGAAACUCUAUCAUUAUUUUGAUAUGAUUUCUGAGAAGGUAAAACCGCUUUAUUUCCUGAAGGACUUCGAAAAAAUUACUGUCCAGAUUGCAUUUGAGCAAUUUCCUUCACUGGUUGUGUUGGAUUUUGUCCUCUGAAAUCUAAAUUGUGUCCACUUAAUACGACAAUUGUAUUUGUUUUAGGAGUGUGCAUCAAUCUUUUGCCCCUAGGUAGCUUCUGAAAAAAAAAUAUUUGAAAAUAAAAAUAAUUAGAGAUUAAGAAAAAGAGUAAAUCUUAUAUACACUGACAGUGUAUACACUAUCACCGUUUGAUUCAUGACAUGUAUACAAAAGUUGAAUUCUAAAUUCAAAUUUUACACAACUGUCAUUCAUCCAACACUGACAGUGUAUACUGUGAGGACCCGAAAAAUUUCUUAUUUUUAUCGAAUAUUAAUGGUUUAAUUAAGUAUUUAUCCACCUGUUUUCCCCAAAUAAUUUAUUACAACCAUUUUAAAUCCAUUCGUAUGGAAUAAUGUCUUCUUUAUGCUUUUAAAACGUCCCGUUAACAACUUCAAUUUUCGGAGGAUUGUUUAGGUGAGAAAUAAUGAACACGAGUGUUUCAAGGUGAUAUUAUAUUCGAGAGUAUGAUUAUCCUGGGGAAAUUAAGAACGGACAAUAGCAGAUUAAGAAAAGUUAAUCGGGAAUUAAAGGUGAAUAAGUUCUAAGUGAGCAUAUACUACUCACGCGUGGAUAGUUUUCCAAAAGACGCAUGGAUACAAAUUUAUUGGAAAUUUGAGGAGUUAAUACUCGACUCAUGUGAGGACUCGUAAAACUCCUAUUAAAACCCUAUUUUGAGCUUAUUUAAUUAUUUAGUUGUUCAUUUAUUCCGAGUAUUAUUUUCUAGACCUAUUGAACAUAAUUACGUGGAAAUAUAGUUUCAUUAUAUUUUUAAAGUGACUUGUUUCAAAAAUUAAUUUUCGGGAGCGCGUUUAGUGAGAACAGUGAAUAGUGCUUGGAAAUUUUACCCGAUUGAGAGUACAAUAGGCUUGGAAUAUUAAAGACUUAUACAAUGGAUCUAAAUUAGGUAUUUUAAUGAUUAAAUACUCAAGUGAUAGUUAGUGGUACGAUCGUUAUAAGAAUUUCUCGAAGGUUUCACUCUAUCGCGCUUAAAUUGGAAAUACGCGUUUUCACACGCGCGAUUAAUUGAGGGACUUUAGACCAUUAUUUUGGGACAAUUAAGGGUGAAUAAUAUUUAUAUGAAUAUAAGUGCAUUAGAGGUUUAGUGCACUAGUGAAACAAAUGCAAGAGGAAUUGAGCACGAAACGUGCGCGUAAAAGCGCAAGAGAGAGUUGACUUUUGCACCAAUUCUAGCCACACAUUAAGGCUUCCUUUGGAAGCCUCAUUUAGAUCAAAAUUUUCUCUCUCUUCCUUCCUAAGACAGCCGGCUCUCCCAAGAGCAAGAACCAAACUGGCUUCAUCAAAUUCUACUCCAUUUCAUGCACCAAAUCUCAACCAUUUCACACCAAAAUUGAAGACCACUUAGCUUAAAACUUGGGGAGUGCAUCUAGCUACAAAAACAAGGAGCUUUGCACAGUUUUCUUUGGCUGAGAAACGGCCGAAAAUUCUGUUUGGUUCAUCAACCAAAGUAAGUAGUGAUCAACUCAUAGAAUCUUGUCUUUUGGAAGUCAUAUAGCAUGAUUAAGCUCUAGCAUGCCUUUGGUUAGCUUGUUUAUGGUGUAAAAUGAAAUGGGUGGAAUCUAUGAACUCCCACCUUUGUCUUGGGGACUGAUCUCAUACUUGAUGAUGGAUUUAAUGUUGGUUUAGUGCUCAAAAUGGUGGAUUAAUGGUGUAUUAUUAGUAGAAACUUCAAGGGGUGCAUGGAGUAAAAAGUUCCGAUUCUGCCCCUGCUUUGAACGUACCUAUUUCUGCAGAAUUUUGGGGAUUUAAUGGCUUAUAUAUGAUGUUUAUAUGUUGUAUAGAUGGUGUAAAAAAUUUCAUUGAAAAAUAUUGAGGUUUGGUGGGUCAAAUGAAUCGAUUUCACAAAGCUAGUAAAUCUGGAACUGUUCCCGUAAUGCUCUGACCAGUUUUCGUGUUUCGGCCAUAACUUUGUGCUCCGACGUCAAAAUCGAGUGGCGUCAGUGGAAUUUGAAACUAGACAUUCUCACCUUUCCGACGGUAUAAAAUUCAUGUUCUGGUUCCAUGUAUGUGAGCCGAACCAACCAUUUAAAGUCGGCUGUUCUGUUUCUCUGUUUUCCUGGAACGAAAUGCUGAGGCUGCAACUUGUGGCUCGAAUUCGAGCUAGUUGUGUGCCAAAUUUCAAAAUGAUUUCUUCUGUGAAAUUUUAUCUCUAUGAAUGUAUUUUCCAACGCCAUAAACUAUGCCCAAUUCCGAGUUAAGUUGAGUGAUUUAUGAUCAAAAUACGGAACCUGCCCUGCUCUGGAAAACCCUAACUUUUGGACAGAUUUGAUGCAAGGCUUGGUGUAGACUUGCUAACUGAAUAUUUUGGUGCUAAACACUUAUGAAAUGUGCCAUGAAUGUUCCUUAGGCUUUGCCUACACUAAUGAGCCAUGUUUGAGGAAUUUUUCCUUGACCAAAUGUUUGGAAUGGAAAACAAAAGGCUCAAGGCAGUUUUAUCAUAGGAUUUUUCCAUGAAAUUUGGUAGAGGGAUACUCUUUAUAUAGGAUUAUUAUACUGCCAAAUUUUGUACCAAUCCAAGUCCAUUUCGAUACCUAACUAAAGUCCCAAAGUUGGAAGCUCAAAUCUGGAAAUUUGUUCACCAGUUUUGAAUUUUUCCCUAACUUUGAGCUAUCGUAUCUCGGUGCUCGAAACUCUGAUUCUGGAUCCACUUUUUCUGUUAAAAACAUUACUUGCAAUCCUAAUUGAGUUACAGAUUUCAGAGGCUAGCACGCAACGUGUGAAUUUUUCCGAAUUUCCAAAGUUACCGAAAAACCAACCCCAACACAACCUUAAGUACUCUGAAACAGUAACUUUGAGCCCAUUUUUGAAUGUCUUCUAUUUAGAGUCAUGGAAAAGUGUCUUCUAAUAACUUUUAGUACUUUCAAAGAGGUUUCCAACGGUACCAAGUUUUCCAAUUUUUGACAUGUAGAAUGUGAGAUACAAUUUUUCAAAAUAUCAUAUCAAAACUGAAAAUUUUCCGGAUUCCAAAGGAAGGGAGUUUUCAAGCACUCCUUAUUCCUUCGAUAUUACUUGAACGUUUUAUACUUGAUUUUCCAAAAUAAAAACUCGAUCGCUCUUGUACUUUAAGAAGCUCUAAUUGAACCUCGAUUUACGAGUAAUUGAGGUUUGUUUUCAUGAAAUUUCCUUAGAUUGUACUAACAUACAAUCUUCCUUGAUAAUUGGGGCACGUGAAUGAUAAUACAUUAUAUUUUACUCAAGUGCACUCGAGGACCUUCAAGAGGAUCCUACAGUGAACACUUGAACUUCCAGAAAAUAUUUCUUCUUGAUUUGCUCGGUGAGUGUCAAGUGUAUGGCUACUUGAACUCUAUGGGCUUGAUUCAUGCUUGGCUUACCUGAUUACAUGCUUAGCCUACUUGGUUUUGAAAAAUGGAGUCGAGUGUGUACUUUAUCGCACUCGUUCUCAUUUGAAACAAAUGACUCAUGCUUAACAUGUUUUGCCUGAUUUACAUGAUCUGAAAUACAUGCUUAAACCUGUCGAAUGCUUUAUUACAUGACAUGGUAUGCUAUGGCUGCAUACGUCGUUGGAGUGAAUCUCCUCGACACUUACAUGAUACAUGGGGGACGCCCAAACUCAUAGGCCGACCUUGGAACUCGAGCCGGCAUGGGCUUGGUCGGGAACCUUGGUGAGCCAUGAGAAUCACAUGAUAAGCUUGAUCUAUUUGAGAGAUCUUGCUUGGUAUACUCGUGGAGUAUAGCCUUAUAAAUGUCGUGCGGGCCCGAAGCGGUGUAGGGUGGACGGAUGAGAAGUAAGUGGUGAUCUACGGUUUGGAAAUAUCAACCCGGUUGACGGAGAGUCAUCGCGGGAAGAUAUACGAAUGAACUGGCAAAGCAAGUGGAACUUAGCUCCUGAGAACUACUAUAUCCUUGAAUUGUUUCUGCUUACUUUCACUGGCUUUAUUAAUUACUUGUAAUUAUCUCUUAGACUGUUAUUUGGGACUGUUAUCUGGACUACGUGCUUGCAUGUGUGUUCUUGGUCUCACGAGCGUUUUGCUCACCCUGUAGAUUUAUUUUCCUUAACAGGAUUGAACUCGAAGAUGUAUUGGAGAAACCCUUCUGAUGUGCUUUUGUUUAGGGUUUCUAUUACAUUUUGUCUAUGCCUUGGUUUUUGGGUUGUACUUUUGGAUUUGAAAUGUAACUUUUGGGGCAUGAUGUAUAUUUGGGAUUCAUGAUGUACUUUGAGCACCUGACAUACGGGUUGGAUAAUGGAUCACAGUUGUUAAACUUGAACGCUUCUGCAUUUACUAUAUUUAAGUUAUUUACUUGUGUUGUGUAGACUGAUAAUAAGCUUGAAUGAAAUUGCUUGAGUCCUGGCGAGAGUUGGGCAGGCUUCCCGCGGAUACCCUUUGGUUCGCCUUAGGGAUAAGUGGGGGCGUCACAGUUGGUAUCAGAGCCCAGGUUUUAGAUCUUUGUAGUGUGUCCUAGGCUGAAAAGUUUAGGAUGCCGGACUGUGGAACUGGUUGAAAAGUUAAGUGACAGCUUGUGAAAAUGAAAACUAGAACCAAGGUUUGAAUUAGUGGAUGACAAGGAGUUUUGAUCUUGUGUGAUACAUGUGGGAUAGUACGAAAUGAUCAGAUCUAGUUUAUUGAAUAUACCUGGACUUACAUGAGCUUUUACUUUUAAGGGUAAGUUAUGGGAGGUAAGGGUGAUAUUAAAUGGUCUCGGGACGCCUUCUGAUGGCCCAUUCUUGAGAAAGACCUAAGGGAGCAUUGGAGAGAUAAUCCAAUUCACAAAACUAGGACUUCAUGUGAUUUUCAAAGGACUUGCUCGCACCCAAAUAAUGGGGUGUUAAUAGUGGUCGAUCAUUAAAAGUGGCUAUCCGAGAAAAUUAGGGUAACUCGAGGGGAUAAUCGAGAACUGAGGGCAAUUGCGGAUACCUAGACUACUAGAAUUCCUGAAGUGGAGAUUGAGAUACUUAAGGAGCGAGGAAGACAAAGGCUCCUUGUGAGAAGCUUUAAAAAGCUAAGACCCGACUUGUUAAGGUAGUGCCCGAAAUUAAAGACAGGAUAGAUAAGUCGAUGACUGGGUGUGUUACCUUGGUUGAGCAAGUGGAGAAUGAUAAUAUAUUCGAUAAGGGACAUGAGAUCUAAAACUCCUAGUGCUGGAAAUGAAAAUGAUUCUACGGAGGUAAUAAGAUUUUUGACUCCGCCAAUCACUAAGUUAGUGAUUUAAACUAUUUUAAUAGUUUUGCCAAAGAUAGACGGGGUGGCACUCGCUUAAAGGCCAUUGCAUUUUGUAUCUUGUUUUACUAUGUUUUCUAUAUUUUGAGGCAAUUAAAACGUUACUCAUGACAUGCUUGACUUUACUGCUUUACGAUUUCAAAUCUAUGAUUGAGUUGUACACAUUUGCGAUUAUUUCGGUGUCUUUCCUUUUGUUCUUGUAUUUAUUUGGCGUGAUAAAGGUAUCACUUUUCAAACUCCAUUUAUGUGCACUCACUUUAUAUCAUACCUUUAAACAUGUUAAAUUUAUGGGUUGCCAAAGGAGUGAAAAAGGAUUAAGGGCGAGGGGUUAAGCAACUCCAAGCUCAAGGGGGUGAUUAUAGAACGACUGUUAGACUGAACCAAAACCCUAGAAAUGAAGGAAAAUAAUCGUGUAGUCAUUGCUAUUAACCAGACAAUUGAUGCUCUAGCACGAUUAGUGGAGCACUAAAGCUCUAAACCAAUCAACCCACCUGGGGACCCAGCGAGAUGUGAAAAUGAAAUGAUUCUUGAAGUGUACCUAUAUAGAUUUUACGGGGAACCAAACCUCGAAAUAGUAAGAUUGAUUUAAGAGGAUACGAUAAGACACUAGUGGGAGUAAGAGGUUAUGAUCUCCUCUCGAACAACUUCGUAGACAAGUAUUGGAGAGUGAACUAAGACAUGAAAAUUUUAUAUUAAGGAAUGGGGUCCCUGUAUCUGGUUGUGUUUGUAUGUAAUGAUAGUAAUCUCAUGGAGAUUUAAGAACUCGCCCGUAUUAAGCAGAGAAUAGUUGAGAAUUGCAUUCCGGAGUAACCUAUAAGCAAAAGAAUGAAAGAGUAUUAAGACUCGAACUUCCAUUAUGAAUAGCUACUUAUUUUGAACCUUUGAUUUACCUGGCAGGCUAGUAUUUGACUUAAACCAACUGGUAAGAUGACAACUUUGGAAGAAAUGUGUAAGGAAAUUGAUAUUCUUCGAAAUGAGGUAGAAUUUUAAAGAAAAUUGGCUGACUACUGGGAAGGACGGUGAAAACAAGAAUAUGCAGAGAAAACUAAGUUGCUACGCCAGAACGUAGAACUAGAGAAGAAAUACAAAGGAAAUCCUCAAACUGGUCAAGCCGUCACUUCUCACGCGAAUUGUGGAUACUGUGGCAAGAUUAACCAUACCAAGGACAAGUGCUGGAGAAAACAAGGAAAAUGUCUGAGAUGUGGUAGUACCGAGCAUAAGUUUUCGAAUUGCCCCAGUGCAUCUAGAAAGAGGAAAUGCUCAGCGGCCAACUAAAUUCGCCACAAAAUAAUCGAGUGUCAGAAAGGAGUCUAAGUGCGGGAAAUUUUCGAGUAGGGGUAGAUAACUCCACUCGAGGGAUAGAGGUUAUAACUUUACCCUAAAUUAGACUAGCACUUUUGGAGAUUUAAUCUUUUGUAUAGGGGAAAAUCUUUUGUUAUUUUGUAUCUUGGUAACUCGGCACGUUUUGCUAUGCUCCCGUUGUUUCCCUUCCCCUUUUGAAAUGGUUUGAUAAACUUAUCCCAACUUGAUGUAUUUAUUAUGAUCCUUAUGACAUAUGAAACUUUACUCUGCUUUUGGUUGGUUUACGACUUAUAUGUAUAUUCAAAAUCUUGCCCCACACUUUUAGACUCAUAAUAAGAUACGAACGGCGUUAGACGUGAUCGAGAUUGGGCUUGAGAAUAUAGACCACUCUGAGGUCUUGGAGGCGACCAGGGAUUAUGACCAAAUUGAGAACUUGAUGUUGAAGUUGAGAUCCAAUGUUUGAUCGCCAAUUUGAGAUAUUAAAAGUGGUGAGAUUUGGGUUAGUGAAAGGAAAUAUUUGAUGGAUUGAAUGAGACUAACGAUUAAGGACCGGAUAGCAUAUUUGGAAUGGACGCUUGAAGCUAUAUAUAUAUAUAAAUUAUCGAGACUUGAAUGAUGUGACUAUUAAGAAUAAAUACUCCGUAGUCUCACAUAAACGAGAAUUAUAAUCAAGGGUCAGGAGCAGCGCAUAAGGGAUUUAAAGUAGAGUUACUACCAACCGGGAAUCCUAGGGACUGAUGUGUUUAAAACCACUUCCAACUCAAGAUGGGGAUGCUUGAAUUUUCAAUUAUGCCCUUUGGGUUAACUAAUGCACUAGCAGUAAUUAUUGCCUUAAUACAUCAAGAUUUUAAGUCGUAAUUGGAUUAAUCUAUGGUGGCAUUUAUUGAUGAUAUAUCGAUAUACUCUAGUGUUUGAGAAGGUCAUGAAAGACACUUGAUGGUAGUUUUACGAACCUCGAGAGAACGCCAACUUUUGUUAAGUUCAAUAACUGCGAGUUCGAUUGGAAGAAAUAGCCUUUCUAGGUUAUACAGCAUCUAAGGAAGGAAUUAUUAUUGACUCAGCUAAAAUGAAAGAUUGUAUAAGAGGAAACGACCAGAAAAGCAUAUUGAAAUUUGGAAUUCUCGGAGUUAGCCGAAUACUACCUUUGAUUUAUCAAGGAUUUUUGUAAGAGUGCAAGACUUGGCAAACCAUUUGAGGUUCUAAAUGUAAGGGAAAAUCAUGAGAUGAAGAAUGUUAAUCGGUGUACAUGUGCAGGAGGUAAUUUUGUGAUUUACACAGAUGAUUCAAAGGAUGGUUUAGAAUGUAUAUUAAUAAAACAUGAUAAGGUGAUUGUAUAUGCCUCUAGGAAGUUAAAAUAUUACGAGAGGAAGUAGCCAACUCCUGAUUGGGAGUAAAUAACUACAAUAUUUGCCUUAAAGAAGUGAAGAUAUUGUCUAUAUGAGGUAGAUAUGAGGCCGAUUAAGUUGCUCUAUGACUCGAAAGUUAAAAUGCCUAUUGAAGAAAAAAUCAAGGUUUGAUUGCUAGUCGAAUGAAUGGAAAUUGUCAAGUAUAAGUUGGAAAAACGUAAGGUGGUGAUCGAUCUGAUAGACUUAACCAUGAAGGGAAUGAUAUUUUCUCAGGUGUGAAUUUCGAGGAUGAAAUUCUGUUAAGGAGGGGAGGAUGUGAGGACCCGAAAAAUUUCUUAUUUUUAUCGAAUAUUAAUGGUUUAAUUAAGUAUUUAUCCACCUGUUUUCCCCAAAUAAUUUAUAACGACCAUUUUAAAUCCAUUCGUAUGGAAUAAUGUCUUCUUUAUGCUUUUAAAACGUCCUGUUAACAACUUCAAUUUUCGGAGGAUUGUUUAGGUGAGAAAUAAUGAACACGAGUGUUUCAAGGUGAUAUUAUAUUCGAGAGUAUGAUUAUCCUGGGGAAAUUAAGAACGGACAAUAGCAGAUUAAGAAAAGUUAAUCGGGAAUUAAAGGUGAAUAAGUUCUAAGUGAGCAUAUACUACUCACGCGUGGAUAGUUUUCCAAAAGACGCAUGGAUACAAAUUUAUUGGAGAUUUGAGGAGUUAAUACCCGACUCAUGUGAGAACUCGUAAAACUCCUAUUAAAACCCUAUUUUGAGCUUAUUUAAUUAUUUAGUUGUUCAUUUAUUCCGAGUAUUAUUUUCUAGACCUAUUGAACCUAAUUACGUGGAAAUAUAGCUUCAUUAUAUUUUUAAAAUGACUUGUUUCAAAAAUUAAUUUCCGGGAGCGCGUUUAGUGAGAACAGUGAAUAGUGCUUGGAAAUUUUACCCGAUUGAGAGUACAAUAGGCUUGGAAUAUUAAAGACUUAUACAAUGGAUUUAAAUUAGGUAUUUUAACGAUUAAAUACUCAAGUGAUAGUUAGUGGUACGAUCGUUAUAAGAAUUUCUCGGAAGUUUCACUCUAUCGCGCCUAAAUUGGAAAUACGCGUUUUCACGCGCGCGAUUAAUUGAGGGACUUUAGACCAUUAUUUUGGGACAAUUAAGGGUGAAUAAUAUUUAUAUGAAUAUAAGUGCAUUAGAGGUUUAGUGCACUAGUGAAACAAAUGCAAGAGGAAUUGAGCACGAAACGCGCGCGUAAACGCGCGAGAGAGAGUUGACUUUUGCACCAAUUUUAGCCACACAUUAAAGCUUCCUUUGGAAGCCUCAUUUAGAUCAAAAUUUUCUCUCUCUUCCUUCCUAAGACAGCCGGCUCUCCCAAGAGCAAGAACCAAACUUGCUUCAUCAAAUUCUACUCCAUUUCAUGCACCAAAUCUCAACCAUUUCACACCAAAAUUGAAGACCACUUAGCUUAAAAUUUGGAGAGUGCAUCUAGCUACAAAAACAAGGAGCUUUGCACGGUUUUCUUUGGCUGAGAAAGGGCCAAAAAUUCUGUUUGGUUCAUCAACCAAAGUAAGUAGUGAUCAAUUCAUAGAAUCUUGUCUUUCGGAAGUCAUAUAGCAUGAUUAAGCUCUAGCAUGCUUUUGGUUAGCUUGUUUAUGGUGUAAAAUGAAAUGGGUGGGCUCUAUGGACUCCCACCUUUGUCUUGGGGACUGAUCUCAUACUUGAUGAUGGAUUUAAUGUUGGUUUAGUGCUCAAAAUGGUGGAUUAAUGGUGUAUUAUUAGUAGAAACUUCAAGGGGUGCAUGGAGUAAAAAGUUCCGAUUCUGCCCCUGCUUUGAACAUACCUAUUUAUGCAGAAUUUUGGAGAUUUAAUAGCUUAUAUAUGAUGUUUAUAUGUUGUAUAGACGGUGUAAAAAAUUUCAUUGAAAAAUAUUGAGGUUUGGUGGGUCAAAUGAAUCGAUUUCACAAAGCUAGUAAAUCUGGAACUGUUCCCGUAAUGCUCUGACCAGUUUUCGUGUUUCGGCCAUAACUUUGUGCUCCGACGUUGAAUCGAGUGCCAUCAGUGGCAUUUGAAACUAGACAUUCCCACCUUUCCGACGGUAUAAAAUUCAUGUUCUGGUUCCAUGUAUGUGAGCCGAACCAACCAUUUAAAGUCGGCUGUUCUGUUUCUCUGUUUUCCUGGAACGAAAUGCUGAGGCUGCAACUUGUGGCUCGAAUUCGAGCUAGUUGUGUGCCUAAUUUCAAAAUGAUUUCUUCUGUGAAAUUUUAUCUCUAUGAAUUUAUUUUCCAACGCCAUAAACCAUGCCCAAUUCCGAGUUAAGUUGAACGAUUUAUGAUCAAAAUACGGAACCUACCCUGCUCUGGAAAACCCUAACUUUUGGACAGAUUUGAUGCAAGGCUUGGUGUAGACUUGCUAACUGAAUAUUUUGGUGCUAAACACUUAUGAAAUGUGCCAUGAAUGUUCCUUAGGCUUUUCCUACACUAAUGAGUCAUGUUUGAGGAAUUUUUCCUUGACCAAAUGUUUGGAAUGGAAAACAAAAGGCUCAAGGCAGUUCUGUCUUAGGAUUUUCGAAACUUUGGUUGUUUGAGUGACUACCUUCCCGAAGGUAUUUUUCCAUGAAAUUUGGUAGAGGGAUACUCUUUAUAUAGGAUUAUUAUACUGCCAAAUUUUGUACCAAUCCAAGUCCAUUUCGAUACCUAACUAAAGUCCCAAAGUUGGAAGCUCAAAUCUGGAAAUUUGUUCACCAGUUUUGAAUUUUUCCAUAACUUUGAGCUACCGUAUCUCGGUGCUCCAAACUCCGAUUCUUGAUCCACUUUUUCUGUUAAAAACAUUACUUGUAACUCUAAUUGAGUUAUAGAUUUCAGAGGCUAGCUCGCAACGUGUGAAUUUUGCCGAAUUUCCAAAGUUAGCGAAAAACCAACCUUAAGUACUCUGAAACAGUAACUUUGAGCCCAUUUUUGAAUGUCUUCUAUUUAGAGUCAUGGAAAAGUGUCUUCUAAUAACUUUUAGUACUUUCAAAGAGGUUUCCAACGGUACCAAGUUUUCCAAUUUUUGACAUGUAGAAUGUGAGAUACGAUUUUUCAAAAUAUCAUAUCAAAACUGAAAAUUUUCCGGAUUCCAAAGGAAGGGAGUUUUCAAGCACUCCUUAUUCCUUCGAUAUUACUUGAACGUUUUAUACUUGAUUUUCCAAAAUAAAAACUCGAUCGCUCUUGUACUUUAAGAAGCUCUAAUUGAACCUCGAUUUACGAGUAAUUGAGGUUUGUUUUCAUGAAAUUUCCUUAGAUUGUACUAACAUACAAUCUUCCUUGAUAAUUGGGGCACGUGAAUGAUAAUACAUUAUAUUUUACUCAGGUGCACUCGAGGACCUUCAAGAGGAUCCUACAGUGAACACUUGAACUUCCAGAAAAUAUUUCUUCUUGAUUUGCUCGGUGAGUGUCAAGUGUAUGGCUACUUGAACUCUAUGGGCUUGAUUCAUGCUUGGCUUACCUGAUUACAUGCUUAGCCUACUUGGUUUUGAAAAAUGGAGUCGAGUGUGUACUUUAUCGCACUCGUUCUCAUUUGAAACAAAUGACUCAUGCUUAACAUGUUUUCCCUGGUUUACAUGAUCUGAAAUACAUGCUUAAACCUGUCGAAUGCUUUAUUACAUGACAUGGUAUGCUAUGGCCGCAUACGUCGUUGGAGUGAAUCUCCUCGACACUUACAUGAUACAUGGGGGACGCCCAAACUCAUAGGCCGACCUUGGAACUCGAGCCGGCAUGGGCUUGGUCGGGAACCUUGGUGAGCCAUGAGAAUCACAUGAUAAGCUUGAUCUAUUUGAGAGAUCUUGCUUGGUAUACUCGUGGAGUAUAGCCUUAUAAAUGUCGUGCGGGCCCGAAGCGGUGUAGGGUGGACGGAUGAGAAGUAAGUGGUGAUCUACGGUUUGGAAAUAUCGACCCGGUUGACGGAGAGUCAUCGCAGGAAGAUAUACGAAUGAACUGGCAAAGCAAGUGGAACUUAGCUCCUGAGAGCUACUAUAUUCUUGAAUUGUUUCUGCUUACUUUCACUGGCUUUAUUAAUUACUUGUAAUUAUCUCUUAGACUAUUAUUUGGGACUAUUAUCUGGACUACGUGCUUGCAUGUGUGUUAUUGGCCUCACGAGCAUUUUGCUCACCCUGUAGAUUUGUUUUCCUUAACAGGAUUGAACUCGGAGAUGUAUUGGAGAAACCCUCCUGAUGUGCUUUUGUUUAGGGUUUCUAUUACAUUUUGUCUAUGCCUUGGUUUUUGGGUUGUAUUUUUGAAUUUAAAAUGUAACUUUUGGGGCAUGAUGUAUAUUUGGGAUUCAUGAUGUACUUUGAGCACCUGACGUGCGGGUUGGAUAAUGGAUGACUGUUGUUAAGCUUGAACGCUUCCGCAUUUACUAUAUUUAAGUUAUUUACUUGUGUUGUGUAGACUGAUAAUAAGCUUGAAUGGAAUUGCUUGAGUCCUGGCGAGAAUUGGGCAGGCGUCCUGCGGAUACCCUUUGGUUCACCUUAGGGAGAAGUGGGGGCGUCACAUAUACAAUGUCAGUGUAGGAAAGAUUAAUCCAAAAAAAAAUCGAAAGAAAAAGAACAUAAAAAUAGAAAAGGAAAUAACAUGAAAAUUAGAACACUACUAGAAUGGAAGGACUUACCAUGUACUACUUGAUUAAACUAGUACCUUAAUAAGCAUUCUUGAAUAAUAACAUAUAAAUAGAAAAUUAACAAAAAUGAAAAUACAAAAUUAAGAAGGUAUUCAGAAGCACAAACACUGCUAUGCUUGAAAAUCAACAAGAAUGUAUUACUAGUACACAUUCUGGCACCAUUUUUACAAAAUCACAUCUACUACAAACUACUAUUCCAAAUUUCUUGUCAAGACCUUCUUCAACUAAUGCUUGCUCACUAUCAGAAUUGAUAUCCAUAUGAUCACUAUCAUCAUCAUCAUCUUCAUUGUAUUGCAAAAGUAUUUAACCUUCUGGUUGGCUACUAGUUUCAUUAGUACUACUAUAUUCUUCUUCUUCUUUAUCACCAUAUUUCUCUCUCUCUCUCUCUCUCUCUGUGUGUGUGUGUGUGUGUACACGAUCAUGUUCAUUACUAGUUUUCAUAAUCUUAAACUCAGCAUUUUCUUUGUGCAAUGAGUCAAACUCAGUAUCUUCAACUUGACCAAUAACUCUUGCUUCUUUUUCAUAAAAGGUAUCAUCUGUCUCUAUUUGUUCGUCAUUGUUGAUAUUUUCAUCAGUUUUUUCUAACUCAGGAAUGUUCCAAAGAUGCUUAUGUUGUACACAUUGAACUAUUUUUUCAAUUAUUGCCUAGUUUGGUAUCCAUGAUAUAAAACACUUGCUGCACCUAAUUUGGUAGCACAAAUGGAUCAUUUUGAUACCAUCAUGAUCAGAUAUCAAUACUAACAAAGUACUUGUCACAUUUCAUUGUCCGAGUACUACUCGUAUCAUACCAUUCAUAUUGGAACAACACCAUCUUAUAUCCUUUAAGAAAAGUAAGUUCUACAACUCUCUUAAUAAAGCCAUAAAAUGGAAUAACUUCUCCCUUGUGAUCACCAUCAACACCAACCCACUGUUUUGUGUUGUUCUACAAUCAUCUCUAUCCUCACUGUGCAAUCAAAUCUGAUUUCCAAUAUACCUUAAAUAGAUUUUUGUCAUAAUAGGGAUUGGGCUAUUUGUUAGUGCCCAUGGUUCAUCUGUAAUUCCUUCAACUUUCUAAGUAUACAAAUGAUUAAUCUAAUAACAAAGUACAAAAAGCAUAAGCAUUAAACGUCUACAUUUGUUAGAAAGACAAUUCUAUUUUAUGUCAACUACUUACAUGAUUCUUUAACCACUUUAAAAAUUGUGAUUGGUGCCUACUCUCAAUAUUCUCAAGUUGUAUAUUAAUGAACUCUUCCUUGUGCAAACUAUACAAAUUACAAAAAAAGGAUAAUAAAAAUAUUAGAAUCUGAUUAGUACCAAACAAGUAAAUAAAAGAUAAAGAAAUAAAAUAAAAAUGACCCAAACAAGUAAUUAUAGAUGGAAUAAAGUAAAGUCAGCCAACUUACAUUUGGUAGAGACCUACUUCUUCAUAAUUAUUCAAUAUAAACUUAUGUGUUACGUUCAAAAACUUUUGACUCAGUUUUUCAGUAACUGUAUUUAAUUCGAAAUGACAGACUUGCAAUGAGAAAACUAGCGGACCUUGAUCUCUAGGACUUAUAUCACGAUUCCUCUCCUUUUUAUUGAAUUUUGUUUCACAUCCGUGAAUGUAUUGAGACAUAAAAGUUAGGCACUCAUUUGCUACAUAUCUUUCAGCAAUUGAUCCUUCGGGUCUAGCUUUAUUCCGCACGUAUUUUUUAAGACACCCAAGAUUCAUAUUUAGCAAGAUAUAGUAGAGAUACAAUUGGGAUUAUUUCAUAUUACACAUAUGAACAAGAUUUGAAAAUUAAUGUAUAACAUAAUCAACUAAUAUUAGGCUUACCUCUCGAAUAGAAACAUCUAUCUAUGAUGAACUAGACCUCCUAGUUUUGUCUCUUAAAGCAAAUGAAUAAAUAGAUAAACCAUAAUGGUAAAGAAUGCAGGUGAAAAUAUUUGUUCCAACUUGCACAUAAUUAGAGAAAUAUUUCUUUCCAACCAAUUCAAGUCAUCCAGUUUGAGUGUCUUUGAACACAGAUUUCGAAAAAAACUCACUUAACUAAAAAAUUGUCUCAUUCACCUCUUUUUAUAAGUAUCCUUGAAUACCUGUCAAGAGAAAUCGUUGUAUCAAUAUAUGAUAAUCAUGACUCUUAAGACCUGAAAUUUUAUCAUCUUUAACACAGUGAGAUAUGUUUGCAGCAUACCCAUCUGGAAACUUAAUUGAUUUCAAAAAAAAUACAAAAUCUUUUCCGUUCACUUGAAAACAUCACAUAACAUGCAGCCGACUUCAAAGUUCGAGUACCAUUACUUUGCAAAUGCAACUGUUCUCUUAUUCCCAUGUCACACAAGUCUCUGCGAGCAUUAUUUGUGUCUUUAGUUUCUGUUUUAAUACCCAGCAAUGUCGCCAUCAAAUUUUCAGAUAUGUUUUUUAUGAUGUGCAUAACAUUUAGAAAAUGCCUUAUCUUCAAGUUCGGCCAGUAAGGUAAUUUAAAAAAAAUGCUCUUCUUUGUCCAAUUACCUUGAUUACGCUCACGUUUUCUAUUUUGUGUUUCAGAAUGCUUUCCAGGAGUGUCAAAGAACUCAGUCGAACUGUCUAACUUCUGUAGUAUAUCAGCCCCUAUCCAUUCUCUUGGCCUUGGUCUUUGCUCAACUAUACCAUCAAAUUUAUUCCUUUCUCUUCUCCAGCGAUGGUCAUGAGGCAAAAAAUGACGAUACCCCAUGAAAUCUAUCUUACAUCUUAAUUUUUGAGAGCUAAUAGCAUAAAGGUAACAUGGAUAUGCAUUAUAACCAGAAGUGCUCCAACCAGACAAAUAACCAUUCACUAAAAAAUCAAAUACAAUCCAUAAAAGUGCUGCAUGCAUGAGAAAAUUCUGCCCACUAUAUGAAUCAUAAGUCUCCAUGGCAUUCAGCCAUAAAUAUUUCAACUCAUCUAUCAAAGGUCUAAAAAUCACAUCUAUAUCUUUCCCUGGUGUAUAGGGAUCAAAAAUGAGUAAUGAUAGCAUAAAAUACUCUUCUUUAUAAAUUUAUAGGCAGGCAAAUUAUAAGGCACAAGAAUGAUAAGCCACAAACUAUAUGAGUUGCUCAUAAUUUCAAAUAUAUUGAAACCAUCAGUGGUCAACCCAUAGCCUAACAUUGCUAGUUUCUUGAGCAAAGUUGGGACUCAUCAAAAUGUUUCGAAGCAAUAGAGUCAGCUGGAUGCCACAUGACGCCUUCCUCUUUCACACGUUCCUUUUUCAUGCCAUUGCAUGUCCUUUGCAAUUUUAGAGGACAAGAAUAAUCUUUACAACCUUGGUUUUAAUGAAAAAUACCACAAUACCUUGUGAGGAGUUUUAUUUCCCUUACAAUCGAUUUUUUUCCAGCAAGAUUCUUGGCAAACAUGAUACUUUAUUUCUCUUUCAUUCUUUUUCCAGAAAAUUGCACAAUCAUAUUUGCACAUAUCAAUUUUCUCAUAACCUAAACCAAUGGCUGAUAAGAUUUUCAUAACUCUAUAUAGUGAAGAUGAAACUUUUUCACCUACUGGUACUACAUUCUUGAAUAAUUCCAAAAUCAUGUUAAAAACCUUGUUCGUCAUAUGAUUCAUUACUUUCAUAUUCAGUACAGUAAUGAUAAAAUGUAACAAGUAUUUGAUAUAUCUUGGGUAUAGUUCUCGUUGAGCAUCACUUAAUAGUCUAUCAAAAUUUUUGGCAUUCCAAUCAAAUGAAGGAUUGCGUUCUUGUGCCUCACUAAAUUUUUCCAACAAUAUUUGCAAUUCAUUACCCUAUUCCUCAUUAUCAUCAUUAGCACCAACAUUUGCCUCCCCAUUAUGAUUAAAUCUUUCAUUAAUAACACACGGAGGUACACUCAAUGAUUCUCUAUGAAAGACCCAAUUCUUAUACUUUUUUCAAAAACCAUUAUUAUGUACGUCAAAUUGAACCUGAAAAUAACUUUUCUUAGUUGAAUUCCUACAUGAAGCACAUGGACAAGAAAUUUUGUCCCAACUGGUGGAGUUUAUCCUAACAAAUUCAAUAAAUUCUUGAACACUAUCCUUGUAUGCCUUUGAAUAUAUAUUAUUGUCAUUAAUCCAGUUUUUUCCAUUGAACUACCUAAAAGUUAAAAUCAUUAAUGCAACAAACAUCACAUAUGAAACUUAGUUUAACCAUUUUUAAGUUCCAGUCUCGUAAAAUAAACAAAGUAGAAAACCAAAUGUUUCGAAUACACGAUAUGUAGCUUAUUAACAAGUUUAUAUGCAUAUAAAUAUUUGGAUAUGAAACACACAGCUGGUAUGAAUUAAAAGAAUACAACUAAAACAAAUAUAAAUAGAUAAUAGCAAAGUGCUUCGUUAAAUAAAAUAAGAGUUAGAAAAAAUAGCAACUUGCCUUGAAUAAGUAACUGUCUCCCAUUUUUUCCUUGAAUCAAAAUGUACAAAUUUGAAUAAAUAGUUGAGCUUCCCUAGAAGGAGAGAAAAACACAAGAUUAAAUAUAAAAGUAUUACCUUGGAAAAUUUUAUAUAUUUAAAGCUGAGAAAAAGUGACAGUAUAUUCCAUCGCUAAAUCUAGUUAAUUCAAAUAUUAUUGUUCGCAGUACCAAUACCAUUGUGAAAUGAAGCUAUUUAUGAUGCAAGGCAGGCAUGAAACUGGAAUUAGCAUUAUAUCACAUUGAAAUUAAACAUGUGUCCACUAUAGGAAAGAAUGCAUGAACAAGGUGAAACGAACACUAACGAAAAAAAAAAAAAAAAAAAAAAAAAAAAAGAAAGACCCCACAUAAACAAUGCUCAAAACAACAAGGUAAAAAUAUAAUGGUCCAAGUUGGACUGGAGUUCUUCAGUUUUGCAUGCUCAUAGUUAGCAGAUUAAUCUUUAACUAAAGUUGUUAGUUAGGCAUUUUCUCAAACGGGUUCUUGGUAAAAAAGAAUAUUUUUUCUAUUGAAUUUAAAAGUCAUCAGGUCACGAAAUUUCUCAUGUAAUCACUAUCAAUUCAUACUCAUUCAGACAAUAUUCACCUCCCAUCCAAAAUCAACAAGUCAAAAAAGUAAAUAUACCGUGUGAAAAAAAAUAAUACUUAGAUAAACCAAAUAAGAAUAAGAAUUUUAGGAUCCAAUCUAAUCAAACGUAAAUUCCUAUCAAAUUACAAAAAAUGGCAAAAAACUCAUAAAUCUUUCACAAGAUAAUAAGAUUAAAGAAGAAAUUUACCAAAUGAAAACUUUAAAAUAGGUCUUGGAGUCUUGGAGUCUUGGAGGAGAUAGGGCUUUACAAAGGGGUUUUUAAAAUUGGGACUUGACUUGUUCAAAUUGGGAUGUGUAGUUGAUUGAAACAAUCUCUGAUUAUGCUUGGUACCAAAAAGAGAUAGGAGAUUAGGUUUGACGGUGCAAGAAGAAGGGAGAAGUGCGCUUGGUACAUUCUUGAGUUUAGCUCAAGUACUAGAAUGGUUCAAGUGUUAGAUGACAGACAAGUGCAUUAUGUAUAUUCAUUACUUUUUUCAAAGUGACGUCACUUACUUUAGUGGGUUCUUCUUUUUUUUUUCUUUUUUUUUUUCAUCUUUCCCAACUUAAUUAAUGAACACCAAAAAAAGUGGUGGGAAAAUAAGGCGGGAGCUGAAUUUAUUUUUUUGUGAUGACAAUUCAUAAAAUUUAAUCCUAUUUGUGACAGCAUCCUCGUUAGCAUAGUUAUUUUCAUUCUUGAACUACAAAAUUACAAAAAAAGUAAAAUAUAUAGCUUUCCACCAAUAUUUCCCGCUAUUUAGCACCAAAUGGAGUUUGCAAAAUUUUAACUUUCUUGUGAUGAAAGAGAACAUUUUUGUGGUGACGGUUUCAAGCUAGCAUAUAUAAUCUAUUUUGGGUGAUGAAAGUUUGGAAUUCAUCAUAAAAAUGUAUUUUUGUGACGACUGCAGGGUUUAUCGAAAAAAUUUAUCAUAAAAAGUAUUUUUUUGUAGUGUAGUGACUCUUUAGUGAACUUAGGCCUGGAGGCCUAAGGAACGAGCCUUUAGAGUGCAUUAGGAGUCCUUUUUCUUUAUUUUCUUAUGAUGCAAAGUAAAGAGCUCAAACCCCAACUUCAAAAGGCAUUUUCGAGAACUAUCCUCCUUCCUUCUUACUCAUCAGACAAAGCAAAGAAACUAACAAUUGAAAGGAGCAAUCAAAAGAAGCACAAGAACAUUUAUAAAAAGAGAGAAAAAUCAAAGUAUGUUUAAUAUAAUAAUAGUAGAUAGCAUAAAAAGAAAAUUUCUCAUUCCAUCAUUCAGCCACGAAGGAAAACUAAAAAGAGGCAAAGAUGAUUUUGAUGUCCACUGAUCCAAUGAUCACCCCAAUCAUAAAAUAGAAGAGAUCGACAGGAAAGGAGCCCACUUACCUACUCUCGUUUUAUCCCAUGUUUGUGAGACCCCAUCUCUUUAAGGUGUGCCCCACUUGGAUGAGUUGCUUGAAUAGAACAGAGGCGCAAGUACUAAAGUUGUUGAUACUUGUGACAUAGCAUGCAUAGGUUUUCUCAAUCAAACUAGUUCCUGUAGAAUAGAACAUAAAACCCCGUAUUUGGUGGCAUUUGGCCAAAAUAGCAUCGAGAGGAAAGCCAUCCUCAACUAAAGUGGCUUCGACACUUUUCUGCACCACAAUCUGUGCUUCUAUGAUGCCUGCCCACUCAUUACGGCUCAUGUUUUUUGUAACGAAAUUGAUUGAGAGAUGAUGGCCCGACUCUUCCAUACGCUCUUGAGUAGGCAUUAAGUGAUUGUGAUUGGCAUCUUCAGGACUUAGGAGCUCACCUCCAUUUGACUGAUCAACCUCAAGAGCAACAGGCUCUAGGGAAUAGGGCACUGGUUGAUUUAUGCUUGCUUUGAAAGAACCGAGUUUUUACCAGAGUUGGUUCCAAAGAUAGAUGUCCAUCCCCAGUCAUCAUCCAUCAUGAAAACAAAGGAAUCGCAAAAAAAAAAUAGGAAUGAGUUUAUCCAACAAUUGAAAGUGAACUUGUGAAGAAAAUAAAAAUAUGAGAAAGAAUAUUAAGCCAGGAAGAAUCGAAUUCUUCCUUCUUUUUGAAAAGUGAAAGUAGCGAUAAAUAAGAAUAAAAAUUAUUAAAAGAAAAAAGAAAAGCAGCAUAUUUUGGAGGGUGGACAUUAUAGCUCUCCCUUCUUUUCCUAGAAAAGAUGAAAAAAAUAUGGCUACAAAAACAUUGAUGAAUUUUGAAAUAAAACGCUUUUAAAGCUGUUUGCAUAGGACUACAAGAAAUAAAUUCUUUUAUUCUCUUGAUCUUGUCUAUCCUAUAACGUUUUUUAAUAUCUUUUAUUUUCAUGGAUUAAAUAAAAGUUAAAACACUUUCUUUUAAUUAUUCAUCUAGUUCGAUCUUUCGUUCGUUUGUUAAGCCACAUUUUUCUAAAAAGGAUUGUCGUAAUUCUAGUUUUACACUAUUUGAAAUAACUCUAUCAUAUUGAGAAAUUUUGUCUAGUGGCAUUCAAUCACAAAAUCCAUUGACAGCUGCAUAAAUGACUAAAAUUUGUUUUUCAAUUGGAAGUGGUGCAUAUUAUGGUUGUUUUAGUACUUUUAUCAGCCUUGCACCUCUAUUGAGUAACGCCUAAGUCGUAGCAUCAAGGUCUGAGCCAAAUUAAGCAAAGGCAGCCACUUUGUGAUAUUGUGUCAAUUCUAGUUUUGAACUACUGCAGGCUUGUUUCAUAGCUUUCACCUGAGUGGUAGAUUCGAGGCAACUGAUAGAUAAGCCAAUGUUAAUAGCAGGUCUAAUUCCACGAUAAAAGAACUCUAUUCCCAAACAGAUGUGUUCAUCAAUAAUGGGGAUCACAUUGGUGAGAAUAGAGCAGAUACAUCUCCAACUUGUGUUUCAAUGAUGGGUAAGGCAGUCAAACUACCUGCGCCUAUCUAGUCUAAUCAUUUAGCCACUCAUUUGUAAUAGACGAGAAUGUAAAUCGAAAACAUCCCGUGGGAAAGUUUCAUGAGCUAGUGGUCGGCGUAACAAUAAUGACAUUUGUUGAUAUGCCAUUGCUUAUUUACUAAGAUCAUCAUAAAUUAUUAAUACGUGCAUCCUAUUAUCAUAGAAAUAUUCCCCCAUGAUACACCUUGAAUAUAGGGCCAAAAUUUGCAUAGGAGGAGGAUCUGAAACGGUGGCUGCUACAAGAAUAGAAUAUUUCAAAACAUUCGCUUCUGAAAGAAUUUGAACUAGCCAUAGUUGAACGUUUUUGUCCAAUCGCUACGUAAAUACAAUGCAAUGUCUCACUCUCAGAGAUGGCCUUUGAAUUCAUUUGCUUUUUUUUUAAUAUGGUAUCGAUAGCGAUAGUUAUUUUCCAAUUUGUCAGCCCUCGAUUAUAAGUUCUCAUCGACCAUGACCUAUAGGAACAAGGCUAUCUACCGCUUUUAAACCUAUUUCCAUAGGCUCAUGCACAGAUUUAUGUUCAAUAAUCCCAGGGCCUUUCAUUUCAACAUGUUUUCACUUGUGAUCGCUUAGAGCUCCUCUUCCGUCAAUAGGUACUGCCAACACGCCGAUCACAUGCCCUAGCAUAACCUUUCCCAUAGGAACAUCCACAAUAGAUUCAGUACGUUGACAAGAUCUCUUUCUUUAAUAGCAAUAUCACUACCAAACACAACAAUCCCUACAUUUUCAUUCUCAAGAUUCAAGCUAUUUUUUUCACACUAUUGGCAAAUUCAACGAUUUACACAUCUUGAAUCUCGUUCAAUCCAUAAACACGUGCAAUCCCAUCUUCAACUGAGACUACUUCACUGAUCUCAUCUACUUCCAAAUUCGAGAUGCAACUCAUAUUAAAGGAUAAGCGGUUUAGAAACUGAUCACUAAUAGUAAUAGAGCAUGUGCAUUCAAAGAUAGAAACCCGUUUUUCUCUUCCCAACUAAAAUAUCAUCUAGCUUUUUGUGUAAAACAUGCCUAUCAGACAUUCUAGAAAUGUCAGCAAGUGGCCAUUUGAAUUUAUUUAUAAAAAAAUCUACUGAAUAAAGGAUCAUUAUCUUGAAAAUGGCUAUGAAUCUACUACUUAUCAAUAAAAAAAAUAGAAUUGACUAAACAUAGCGAAAGAGAGAAUCGAGAGCCUUGAAAGGAGCUGCAAAUGCUACUUGAAGAAUAACAAGCAUUCAUAGUGGGAGCGAUCCUCUUUGGUGACCAGAUUGACUAGAAGAGUCUGUCGAUGCAAAGCAGUGUUUUUUUUUUCAAUGCAUGGCUUUUUUUAGAACUACAAAGCAAGUCAAGAGCAUAUACAACUAAAUUAGAAGGGAAAAUGACCUAUUUCAUCCCUCACAUUUCAUAAAAAUAUUCUUUUCGUCCCUCACUUUUAAAAUGAAGCAAUUUCAUCCCUGACAUUUAAAAAUUAAAACUAUUACAUCCCUGAACCUAAUUUUCAAUUUGAAUCAAACCAUCCAAUAACCCAGUAAUAAAUUUUGGAGAUAGAGUUGAUAGGUCACUCGGUCAAUUUCAUCAUAUUCACGUGACAUUUAUCAAACCAAAAAAAUAAACAUUAUAACAUAAAGGCCAUUAUUUGUCUUGGAAUAGUCGGGUUUUUCUUUUGGGUAAAUCUUUUCAUGCAUCGUUAGUAUAUUCGCUUGCGAGUCUAGAUGUGUAUCACAAAUACAAAAUUUGGUGUUUAAAUUUAAAUUGAAAUGAUAUGGUAGGUACAUAAAACCAUCAAUGUAUACAAUGACAAUGUAGGAAUUCAAGUUGAGUUAUAUUCAAGUUGAGUUAACCAAGUGAUCUACCAAUUAUACCUCCAAAAUUUGUAAUCAGGUUGAUAGGUGGUUUGAUUCAGAUUGAAAAUUGGGUUCAAGGAUGUAAUAUUUUUAAUUUUGAAAUGUCAGGGAUGAAAUUGUUUCAUUUUAAAAGUAAGGGAUGAAAAGAAUAUUUUUGUGAAAUGUGAGAGAUGAAAUAGGUCAUUUUCCCAAAUUAGAAAGUCAAAACUAAAAAGCAGAACUCAUUGCUACUACGAAUUCGAUCCCUUUAAAACCAAUUCCUUUAGAGCAAGACUUUGGCAAAGAAAUCGCUAAUAGGCUAAACUCUUAGAGCUUGGAUAUAAAAGCCUACUAAAAAAUUGGAUGCACAUUAAAUUAAAACAAAGAACUUUUCACUCUUUUGAUAUCAAGAAAGACUAAAGAUGGGAGAGUACACAUAGACAUCCUCAGGAAAGAACUAAUGAACUAUGACAUCCCUAACACUUAUGCAAUGAGAUACCAAGCAUCUGAUACCACCUACAAAGCUAAGAGGCCACUGGCGCUGAAUAUGACCCAUAACGAAUGCUAAUCACCACCAGCAUUUGAUGUCAUCUGAUAAGAGAGAUCUCUUUCGGCAAAAAAUUAUACCAACGAUUCGAAUUAUUAUGCUUGAUAAAAGGAACAAGGGAAACUUAAAUAAAAGAGAGCGGUACUGCAAUUAAAAUAGAAAUUUAGGCAAGACACGUACCUCUUCCGCAACAAGGCAUUUUUUCAUAAAAGUCUAAUCACGUCCCACCACUAUUGUCUUUAGUCUCUAAACUCUCGUAAGGCCACUCUCUCCUCGAAAAUUGCCAGGUGUGAAAUGAUCCCUUUUCGUCAAGGAAAGAAAGCUAAUAGCAGCUUAUCUUAGGUUUGAGUUUUUAUUUCUUUUACUCUCAUUUAGUUAGAGGUUCUUUCUUUGGAUUUAAUUUAAAACCUAUAGUGGUUUGAAGCACAUUCGAUUGAAGUCCAUUUUUUUUAUUUGUGCCCUUGGAAAGCGUAGUGGCAAGUGGCAAAUGCAGUAGGAUUGAGAGGAGGGGGACUAUCAGGCUUGUAGUAUGAGCAGAUCUAGUAAUAUUAGCAAGCGAUGAACUGCUAAUAACUGAUGAACUGAGAGUGCAAGAUGAAGAGAAUUCAGACUCCUUGGGAAACACUUUUGUGCUCUAUAGAAGAGCCAUGAAAAAAUGACCUAGAUUGAGAAAUGUAGACAUGAUAGAAGAAAAAAAGAUUGACUAGGCAAGAGACGAACAAAAAUAGGAGGCUAGUAGACACCUAAGGAGGAAGCCUGUUACCUUUUACUACCAAUACUCUGCCUUAUUCCUUAUUUCAUUUCCGCUCUAUCUUCUUCACUAUUUCUUCAUUUCUCAUGCUUCUAUUUUAUCUCUCUUAAAAGCAAAGCGCUAUUUCAAUUGAAGUUGGUAAAAUCUAUGAUAGAUUGAAGCUAUCUAGUGCAAGCAUUCCCUCUUGCCUCUCUCUAUACUGCCCUAUUCUCCGCCUUUUCUUUGAAUCCCAUGUAAGCUGGUCAAUUCUGCCUUUAGUUCUUAUUCAUGUUCUAACUAUUCAUUUAUCCUUUUGCCGUAUUUCCUGCCUUUCUUAUUGUGCCUUUACAGUUGUCAGCGCAUCAUCUUUUGCAUGUCUCUGCAAAUAGAUUUUGAAAUAUAAGACUGAAAUGCCAUUCGACAAAUAAAAAUUAGAAAUGCUGAAGCACGUAUUGAGAUUCAUUCAAGUCUCUUUGAUUUGGUUCUCUCAGUAGUUUCGUAUAUAUAAGAGGCACUGUGUGUUAUAUUCAUUCAAACUCAUAAUGCAAGAACGAGUAGAAUAUCUGCUCUUUAGCUUAACUAGUUAUACCGAGAAUUCAUGAUAAUAGGUGAAAGGGGGGAAAUUUUUGAAAAAAAAAUAGUCUUUUUAGUAGACAUUCUGACUUGUAAAGAUAGUCUAGCAAGUUUGGACUACGGACACUUAGCUAACUAGUUAUUUAUUAGCCUAACCUAAUUCGGUGUAAAAUUCAUUAAACUGCUAAGGUACCGCUAUCUCAUUGGCUGAACCAUGGCACUAUACUCAACAAAUGAAAAUCUAACAAAAUCUUUCAGGAAUGAGCUUAUCGCCUUGUAAUUGAGAGGUUCCUUGUUGCCUAUGAGUUUUAUUUGGAACAGAUAAUGGAAAUCCCCUUUCCAUUUUCUAUUUCCAUUAUCUAACUUAACUCAAGUUUGUUUAGCAUCCUUAGUUGAUUUGAUGAGAUGGUCCAAACUUCAGUUUGUGACUGGAUCCUUUAAUAAAAAGCCAAUUUUUUUUAUGGGUGCCACUUUUCAAGGACGUAAUUGUAGUAAUCAAGAUAAGAUGCCAGUCCCUUCCAAUAUGAGUGUCAGACUUGCUUACUGCCCCUGUGACCCAAUACAAUCUCUAUUUGAAGUUGUUGCAUCUACCCUAACUUCUGACGAGUGGCCAGUCUCCAACCCUUUUAUAGGAACAAAUCUCGGUCUUUUGAACAUCAAGUCAAUCUAAAUGAAUCCUUAUAAUAUAUAAGAACAUGUUUAAGGCCACUCAUUGCUUGGAAAGUGACCCAUUUCAACUGCUUGUGUGAAGGGUUGUUUUUGUCUCAUAAAAAUUGUGUUGAUGUUCAAGUUACUUGUGGUAUACAUGCUUAAUACUUGUGUUUAGAGUAAUUUUACCUAUUUGACCUGUAGUAGGGCUAAUGGGGUCUUUAUGGUGGGACAUGUGUCUUUGGUAUAUGUUAACCAUGAUGGGUUGUUUUAGUAAUAUGAGUGCUUUGUUGAAAUUAGUGAUGCAUAUGGUACAAAUACAUAUAGCUUUCGAUAAUUUCUUAUUGACACAUUUCACAUUUACAUUAAUUUACCGCUCAAUUAAAUGAUUUGAGUUUGUUUUGUGGAGAAAAUUUUUUAAAAAGAAGCCGAUAAAACGUGAUCUUGAUAAGAAGAGUUUGAACCUGCAUGACAAAACCAUUAACUAACUUUGAAUGAAAGUCUGGAACUAACACACCAUUUUUGAAUUAUUAGAAAAAAUGAAUGAAAAAAUAAUUACUUUUUACAAUAAAUAAUGAACUAUAGAAUUCCCAAUAUCUUGAAACAUUUGAUGAGAUAAAAUGUUAAAUUAAACAUAAAACUUGAAUCCCUAGAUCCUGUUGAUGAAAAGCAUACUCUAAAAAUAUCUACACAAACGAACUAAUGAGGUGCCAAUAUUGACAUCCUAUUCUAUAAAAUUAUAUAUUAAGUUGUUUCUGAACUAAUCAAGUAUAGAAUAUCACAUUUGUGCUCAUGUUAACGGUUUGUUCUAUACUAAUGGAUAUUAAUCUUAGUGGAGUUUCUGAGAUGUAUCCCAGCAUCACUAAACUAAUUUAACACAAUCAGAUAUCUAACUACUUUCAGUCAUGGCACUUUCACAAGAAAGCAUGAUAAUUAUUUUUUGUAAGUAAAAGCCAAAAAAAAAAAGAAGGAAAACUAAUUGUAUGGGAAACUCACCUCAAUUCAAAGGAAAAUCCAUGUUGAUAACCAAACAUAUUACAAAGAUAAAAUCUAUAGGCAGCAACAUAUUUAGCAGCCAUUCAAUCAUAAAAGCAAAGGGGGAAAACGAAAAAAGAAAGAAGGCCAUGCGUAGCAAAUGUGGAAGAAGAAGAAAGGCCACAGGUGGCAAACGUGGAGGAGGUACUGCACCAUCUGGUAGUUGUUUAAUAAGUAGAGCUAUUAAGAGGAGUUAAGUGGUUCACAAUCGAUUAUAAAACUAUAAAGUUCCACUCCAAUUGGGGCAAAAAAGUCAUUUCAUUCCACACUUAUCAUUUAUCAUAUGUACAAUUUUCAAUGACGUUGCAAGUAUCACGGGUAUAUAAGUAAUAAAAAUUCAAAUGAAAACUUUGUCUUCUGAACCCAUGGCUUCCUUCUCCAUUACUACCAUGUUUCCAAGAAAUUUUUCACUUUAAUCGUAAAUCCACCUGCUCCACUACAUUACUGCUCCCUUCUCCUCUUACGAACCCUCCUUCCUUCCUCCCUCGACAUUCUCUUCCUCUUAACUCUACCUACAGCUGCCACCACCGCCUCCUCUAUCCUCUUCCUCCUCCUCCAUCCUCUUAUUCUCAAAAUCUACUAGUGACUUCCAUUCAACCUUUUCUCACUGACAUACUACAAAAUUAUUAGUAUUUUUUAUAUAUUCCCAUUUCUUAUUUUUAAUUGUUUGACAUGAUUUUUUUUUGCUUAUGAUUUCACAUUUUAUUAAGCUUUUGGUUGCACGUAGGAUUUUAGAUUUUUUAAUUUAUUGAUUAUUUUGAUUAAAUCAGUAUUUUUUGGAAUUUGAAUUGGACAGGUACUUAUGAAAAAAUUUUAUAGAGACCUACCAUUUUCUUGAUGUUAGCAUUUGAAUUUUUUCUAUAGAUUGAUUUUUUGAUUCCUCUAUUGUGUUUAUCUACUUCAGUAUUCAUUGCUGUUAAAUUUAUUUUUGUAUCUCACAUCAAAAAUUUUACAAAGAGGUGUCAGAGUUUCAGGUUUUAGAUUAUUGAUGACAAUAAUAAAUUAUCAAUAUCAAUUUUGGGACAUUGAUUUAGCGUUACCGAAAGUGGAGAAAGAACCUGUUGGAAUUCAAUUGGAUUUUUUGUAAAGAAGAAUUGUUUGUCCCAUUGGAUCUCAUUGAGGGCUUUGAGGAAAGGUGAAAUAAGAUUACUAUGUUUGUAUUUUUAGUCUGUGGGGAUCUAUUAAAUCUUUUGUUUUAUAGAGCAAAUUAGUGGGUUUUUAAUCUAUUAAGUCUUUUGUACUAUUUAACCUCUUUUGUAUUUUCAAUUUUAAGUGCUUUUAGGCCUAAGAAUUAUUUCGUAGAUUUUAUGUACUCUCUUUUGUACUAUCUUUCUGUUAUAGUAAAUUUGCUACUCUUUCGUUCGUGGACAUAGAUCAAUACGGCCGAAUCAUAUAAAUUUUGUAUUUCUAUUUUAUUUAUUUUCUUUUUUAUUUGUCUUUUAGGAUUGCCAAAAAUCCUUUUGUCAAUUUCCUAGAACUAGACCUAAUACUUGCCUCUUGAAUUUUUCUAUCUAUUCCUUUUUUUUGUUAUUAUUUUAGGAAAAUAUGUUAAAACAGUCAAAUAGAAUAGGAAAGAGAAUAUUUUGUAUAUUAAUUUGAUUAGUUUGUUGCCAUCCUAGUAAAAGUCAAAAGCUAAUUUAUAGGCAUUAGAAUAUGAUUUAAUUGGUAUUGUAUCAUGUAUAAAGUUGUACCUUUUACUCUUGAAUGAUUAUAAGAACAAAUUCUUUCACUAAAAUAUCUUCUUAUUAUGGUAUCAGAGCACCGAAUCUAGGAAUCUGAAAACUUUUCCUCAUUCCAUUAUUAAUCAAGGGAGACACAAACAAGCCAACUCAAUUAAGCAUGGCAUCUUCAUAAUUUUGACAAUCCCAAUCAACCUUUGUAUCAACUUAGAUUGAUUCUUGUAUCACAAGUUCUGACUGAAGAAAACUACAACACAUGGAAUCACUCUAUGAUUAUGGCCUUAACAGUCAAAAACAAAUACAGCUUUGUUGAUGGAUUGAUUUUACGACCAAACGAAAAUGCAGAAGACAAAUUGUAGCAGUGGAUUCGUUGCGACAAUCUCGUCAAGACCUGGAUAUUAGGUUUACUUUCCAAGGAAAUUGCAGCAAGUGUUCUCUAUUAUGAUGAAACAAAGGCAGUUUGGGAUGAAUUACGUGAACGUUUCUCUCAAGUAAACCGUGUCAAACUUUUUCACAUUAAAAAUGAGAUACAUGAUUGUAUGCAAGGAACCAUGUCUGUUAGUUUCUACUUUACCAAACUCAAAUGAUUAUGGAAUAAAAGAGACAUCCUUUUUUCUAUUGCAGCUCGGCAAUAUGGAACUAUGAAGGAAGAGCUAUUCUAUUGAGAAAUAGAGAAAACCAUCAAGUUUCUUAUAGGAUUGACUGAAUCCUUUGAAACAAUACGGGGACAAAUAUUGACAAUUGAUCCCUUUUUAAAGGUCAUAAGGCUUAUUCCCUUGUGCUUAGACAUGAACGACAGCGAGGUAUGUCUUCAGAAAAAGAAUAUAGGUCAGCUUGAGGUAGCAACAUUUACAAUCAAGGAUCCAAAUAAGAGGGGCAGUAAUCAUGUGUGAAAAAUGUGAAAAAAAAUGGAUAUAGCACAGACAACUGCCGAGAACAUUUGAAGUGCUCUUAUUGUGGAUGGAAGGGCCACACAAUUGAUCUUUGUCGAAAAACUCAAGAAGGAUCAAUCAUUUUGAAUGAUUAUAGCAAAGCAAGGUAAUCAAUUUGGUGCUUCACACCAAGUUGAAAAAACUGACAUACCCAACUCAUUGCCUUUCACUCAGGAACAGUGCCAACAAAUCCUACAAAUGCUUAAAGAAUAAUAAGUCUUCCAUGGCAAAUCAAGUUAGUAAUUCUUUAGUUCAUGAUGAACUUUCAGGUAAAAUUCUUUGUUUUUCAUCUCAAGGCAGGAAAAUCACAUGGAUUCUUGAUAGUGGAGCAAUUGAUCAUAUCAUCUGCAAUCUUGAAUUGUUUAUCACUUAAAAAAUUAUUAGAAAUAAGACAGUAAAACUGUUAGAUGGAUCUAUUGCUGAUGUUACACAUGUUGGUCGAGUUAUGUUCUCAUCUAGUUUGGUUCUUGAUGAUGUUUUAUGUGUCUCAAAUUUUUAAUUAAACCUCAUCUCCAUAACACAGCUUGCCCGCUACUCCUUUUGUACCAUCACAUUUCUUACUUAUCUUUGUGCGAGAUAGGACCUACGCUCAAAGAAGAUGAUUGGGUUGGGAACUGAACACAGGGAACUCUACUAUCUUGAUGAAGCACAGACACCCUCGUGUAAUUCGGCCAUUCCCUCUUCCUCCAUUAUUUGGCAUCAACGCCUUGAACACUCUUCAAAUAAAGUGUCUGUUUUAUUUUCUAGUUUGGAUAAUAAGUUUUGUUGUACACAUAAUUGUUCGGUUUGUCUCUUAGCAAAACAAACCAGAUUGCCUUUUCUCUUGAGUAAACUUUCUAGUCAAAUACCUUUUGAGAAAUUGCAUAUUGACAUUUGGAAUGGAUACUGCGUUUCAUCUGAUCCUGGAGUUUGAUGCUUUCUCACCAUCAUUGAUGACUUUACUUGGUGCACUUGGGUUUACUUGAUACGUUAUAAAUCUGAAACUCAAACCCACCUAAUCAAUUUCAUUAAUAUAGUUGAAACUUAAUUUUCUUGCAAGGUUAAGGUUGUGCACAGUGACAAUGGCCAUGAGUUCAUACUCAAAGAAUAUUAUAUGUCCAAAAAGAUCAUCCAUCACACAGUUGCGUUGACAUUCCAUAACAAAAUGGGGUGAUUGAAUGGAAAUAUAGAUAUUUGGUAACUAUGACACCAGUUUUGUUUUUCCAAACCCACCUUUUUAAAAUCUUCCGGGGGAAUGCCAUUCUGAUUUCUACAUACCUUAUAAAUCACACACCUAUGUCCAUUUUGCAAGGAAAAAUAUCUUAUGAAUGGUUUUUUAAUUCAACACCCAAUUACUCACAUUUAAGAGUAUUUGGAUGUUUAUGUUUCGCCUCCACUCAUGCCCAAAGGCCAUCUAAAUUUGAUAAACGUGCAACCCAAUGUAUUUUUCUUGGCUAUCCUUAUGAAAAAAAAAGAUAUCGAGUAUAUGAUCUUGGACUCCACAAGUUUUUGUGUCUCGUAAUGUUACCUUCUUUGAACAAGAAUUUUCCUUCAAAAAUGCUUUCGUUGCUAUUGAGAAAUCCGCUACAUCUACUCAUGAUAAAUUCAUUUUCUAUGAUGAUCUUGUCAUAUUACAAAACUCCAUCGAGACACUUACCCUAAGAAUGCUGUCAAUAAUUCUCAUCAUAUUAUUCCGACUUCUUCCAUACCUGCUUCUGUACACUGUUAUUUCACAAGACCAACCAAAUGUCUUCCCUUUCUUCAGAAUUAUCAUGUGGAAGCAGUCCUCUCGUCUCGGCCUGACCCCUCAUCAACCUCUAGCAUGGUCACCACUUCAUGUAUGCCACACAAUCUUUCUCAAGUCCUUUCAUAUGACCAAUUAUCUACCUCUCAUAAAAUUUUUACCACUUCUUUAAUCAUUGUAAAAAAACCAACUAAUUUUUUACAGGCUCUGAAGGAUCCUCUGUGGCACAUAGCCACGCGCAAUGAAAUCGAUGCCCGCCAAUCAAACAAUACAUGGACACUUAUGUCUCUCCCACUUGACAAGAAAUCAAUAGGAUGUAAAUAGGUGUACAAAAUGAAACUCAAAUCCGAUGGAACCAUAGAGCGUUAUAAGACUCGUUUGGUUGCCAAAGGAUACAAUUAGAUUGAAGGACUUGAUUACCGAGAGACUUUUGCCCCGAUUGCUAAGUUUGUUAUUAUGCGUGUCCUCUUAGUGUUGUUGCAAUUCAAGGAUGGAAUCUCCACCAAUUUGAUGUCAACAAUGCCUUUUUGCAUGGCGAUCUUGAUGAAGACGUAUACAUGUCCCUACCACCGGGAUUCGGACGAAAGGGAGAGACUCGAAUAUGUAAACUUAACAAGUCACUCUAUGGCUUGAAACAAGUUUCUCGACAAUGGUUUCUGAAAUUAUCUUCAGCUCUUAAACUUGCUGAUUUUCAAUAAUCAAAGGCAGAUUAUUCAUUAUUCGUCCGAUUUCACAAAGGUAGUUUCGUAGUAAUUCUUGUAUAUGUUGAUGAUGUGAUCUUAACAAGUAAUGAUAUGCAACAUAUUCAAGACUCGAAAGAAUUUUAUCCGAACAAUUCAAAAUCAAGGAUCUUGGUCAGCUCAAAUAUUUUUUGGGAAUAGAGGUGGCAAGGUCUUCGAAAGGUAUUUCUCUCUCUCAAAGAAAAUAUGCAUUAGAGAUAUUAGAAGAUGUUGGAUUUCUAGGAGCUAAACCAGUAAGGUUUCCCAUGGAACAAAACUUGGCUUUUACACAAUCUGAUGGAGAUCUUCUGAAUGACCCUUCAAUGUAUAAGCAUCUUGUAGGAAGGUUGAUCAAUUUGACUAUCACUAGGUCAGAUUUGGUCUAUGCAAUUCAUGUUUUAAGUCACUUUAUGGGCAAACCACGUGUGUAAUAUCUUGAAGCAAUACAUAGAGUUCUUAGAUACAUAAAGCAAACACUAGGAUAAGGCAUUUUACUAUCCUCUACAAGCACACUUCAAUUAAAGGCCUUUUGUGAUGCGGAUUGGCCAUGUUGCAAAGAUACAAGAAGGUCUAUAACAGGGUACUGCAUAUUUCUUGGACAAUCACCCAUUUCUUAGAAGACAAAGAAGCAAACUACGGUGGCUCGAUCAACUGCAGAGGCAAAAUACCAUUCUAUGGCUACUACUUGUUGCGAAGUUACUUGGUUGAAGAAUGUCUUGAGAGACUUAGGAAUCAAACAUCCCCAACCAGUCAUAUUAUUUUGUGAUAAUCAAGCUGCUUUACACAUUGCCUCGAAUCUGGUCUUUCAUGAACGAACGAAACACAUUGAAAUUGACUACGACUUAGUUCGUGACAAAAUUCAAGAAGGCUUGAUUAAAACAGCACAUGUGAGGACCAAUGAUCAAAUCGCGGACUUAUUCACCAAGGCGAUGAGUACACUGUCAUUUGAGAUAUUACUUAGUAAGCUGGGUGUUAUUAACAUAAACUCCAACUUGAGGGGGUGUGUUAAAAACAAUCAAAUAAAAUAGGAAAGAGAAUAUUUUGUAUAUUAAUUUGAUUAGUUAGUUGCUAUCCUAAUAAAAGUCAAAGCUAAUUUAUAGGCAUUAGAAUAGGAUCUAAUUGGUAUUGUAUCGUGUAUAAAGUUGUACUUUUUGCUCUUGGAUGAUUAUAAGAACAAAUUCUUUCACCAAAAUAUCUUCUUAUUAAAAUCUCUAAAUACGAUUUCAAAAGAAGUGUUUUUACACUGGAAUAGCAAUAGAUUUGAUAGAUAUUACUUGAUAUUAUUUACUAAACUGAAACACUAACUUGAUGUUCUUGAUUCUAUUUGACAACUUCUUUUUUUCUUUUUUGGUUUUGAAAAUUUAGUCUUUGAAAUCUGGUAUGUUUGUGUCAUGUGCUCGAUGACCUUUUAAAUAAUGAAUUUAGUAUAGUAUUUGUCCUUUUUUUUAUCGACUAUUUGUCCUUCUUUUUCCAUUGACUACAAUAACAUUUCUCUAAUCUAAUAUAUUCUAUCCUACAAUGAGGGGAGUCUAAAGAGGCAAUAUAAAGGACUAACGGGUAUAUAGACUCGAUUAGACCAAAAGGGAUGCUCUGGCAUUCUUAUUCUAUAGAGGGGUAGUCUGACAUUCCUAUUCUAUAGGGAUGGAGAACCUAAAGAUGGUUAGCAUUUAUACAGAUUCGAUUAGACUAAAGGGGUGCUCUGGCAUUCCUAUUCUACAAGGAGGGAGAACAUAAAAAGACCGUAUAAGUGUGGCAUGUAUAUAGACCUGACUAGAUCAAAUGGUGCUUUGGUAUCUCUUUUGAAUUUUUUCAUUGCAGGUGGAGUUUGAACCCAAGAUCUAUAGUCCAAAGAAGGAAUUUAAUCCUACUUUUAAUGGCCACAGAGCUAAAACUUGUUGGUUAGUACAAUGUUUGUUGGUUUGUGAAUUAUUCGAAAAACAUAUACCUCAUGCAUAGUGUGAGGGGCAAACACUCAUGUUUUUGUUUUCUUCCUUAAUAACACAGAUUGCAUUUUUUUUUUUUGAAGAAUUAGCGAGUUUUAUAUAAAAAUAAGAAUUUACACUCUAACCAUCAAUUUUCCCCUCUUAUCUUCCUCUAUAAUUCUAAGAUUAAGGGGGAAAUUUGACUCAAAAUAACUUUAUUCACCCUAUUGAGAUAACUAGCCAUAAAGUCAGCAGUUUGAUUAUAUUGGCGAUAUACAAAAUAUAUAGUCAGCUCCUUGAAGCAUGAGAUUAAAUCCUUUAUAUCAGAAUAUGCAACUAGAGCCCUCCAAGGACAGUCACUUUUGCUGUUUAAGAUAUUUACAACAAGUUUUGAAUUAGUGUGGAUCUCAAUACGUUUCCUUCUCUUGAGUUUAGCAAACACCAAUGCUUCCUUGAUGGCUUCCAACUCAUGGGUUAAUAUUGAAUCAGCGCAUAGUCUAAUAGCCUUGGAUUGAUUCCUUGAUGGCUUCCAAUAAAGAUUGGUUCCCAAAUCCUAAAAGCAAAAAUGCACUUUCAUCCCUUUGUUUGGGGUAUUGGACAAUUUUGUCCCUAAAGUUUUAGUCAAAACAUGUUUCAUCCUUAUAAUUUUAUAAUUUUGACAAAUUUCGUUUCUAAAGAUUCAUACAAACACAAUUUCAUCAUCAUAAUUUCAUAAAUUUGACUAAUUAAGAACAAUUGAUGGAUUGCCAGGUGAUUUGAAUGAAAUAUCAUCACUUGACUAUAGCAUGCCCGUUAAUAAAAUAAAAAAAAAUAUUAGAUCAACGAAAACCUCAGAAAUUGUUUUUUAAUUCACUUUCUUAUUUAAGAAAAAAUUAAAAAAUUUCGCCCACCAUUAAUCUCCUAUUAAUCACAAAUUAAACAAAAAGAUUGAGAGGAAACGAAGUUGGGGAGAGGAAAAAACCCUAUUGUAGUCAAUAGGAGAAAAUUUUCAAACAAUCCCAUUACAACCAAUUAGAGAAAAAUAUUAGUGUGAACAAAAGAAUUGUUUAGAUUGUCAUUUAUUUGCAAAAUUAUGGUUUGUUGUAUCAUAUACAUGCUUUUCAAAUUGUCUAUUUAUCCAAUUUAUUUUUUUAACUCACAUACUGCAUAUCAUAAAUUAAAAAAGAUAAUCUCUUAAUCGAACACACUCAUUAUUAUUUCUAUAAUUUAAUCGAUGAUUGAAUUAAGUAUUAAAAAUACAAUUAUUAACAGGACAUGCUAAUCAUGUGAUGAUAUUCUAUCCAAAUUGGUUAACAAUCAUUUAGUUGUCUUCAAUUGGUCAAAUUUAUGAAAUUAUGAUGAUGAAUUGUGUUUGUAUAAAACUUUCGAGAUGAAAUUGAUCGAAAUUAUAAAACUACGAGAACAAAAUGCAUUUUGACUGAAACUUUAGGGACAAAAUUGUUCAAACACUCUGAACAUUAGGGAUGAAAAGUGCAAUUUUCCCAAAUCCUAAAAUACAACCUCUUAAUAAUUUGAAGGGUUUUUGGAAGAGUUUAUCGGUCUUGUUGACCUCGUAAAUUGUUGUUCUUCUUGGUUCACUAGUGCAGAAGAAGAGCUAGUCGGAGAAAAAUGGGAGGAAAGAGAAAGGAUUUCGCCAGCACCACCGAUGUCCAGGGUACCGAGGAAGGAGGAGAACAAAAGGUAAAGAAGAAGAAGAAGGAGAAACUGGCGGCGGAUGGAUUGCUUCCAUCGACAAUAAAGAAUAAGGAGAAGAGGUCUGCCGUCCAUGCCAAGCUUAAGCAGCAGAAAAGGCUUGAGAAACGUAAGAGGGCCAAGGCUCGUGAAGCGGCUGAGCAGAGAGCUCUUGAGCUUGGCGAGGAGGUUUGCCUUUCAUCCUUUUUCUUUUUUAAAUUCAUUUAUUUUAAAGACAUUCUUUUUCCAUAUCUUUCUCAUCAAACGAAUGCUGUUUGUUAAUCUUGAGGCUUUAGUGUUUGGUAUGUCCAAUCCGAUAUGUCUAAUAUAUGCUAAUAAUUUGCAAUUAGUAAUUUUUGAUCCAACAAGCAAGCAAUUGAUUAAAACAAGAUUUGACUAUCUAAUUGUAUUCUGAUGGACAUUUUUCUGUCGACAAGCAGCCUCCGCCGAGGAAAAUCCCUCGCACAAUUGAAAAUACCAGGGAGCUUGACGAGACUAUCUGCAAGCCUGACGAUGAAGAGGUAUCCUGUUAUCCAUCUUGAAUCUUCAAUGUUUUCCCAAGCUGCAUAUUUGGAAAGAAUACUUGGGAAAUUUGAUAACAUGACAGAUUAUCCUGUGUGUCUCAUAUGUGCUGCUCUUGCCUUCUUCAUCUACAGCUAUUUGCUGCAAAUGAUGCAGAUGAAUUUAGUUCGAUUCUGAAGCAGGACCGCACUCCAAAGAUACUCAUAACAACUUGCCGCUUCAAUUCAACUGUAUGUGUUAAUUUGAGUAUAUGUACCUAUUUGACUGUACAGCGUUGCCUUUAGUUUCAGAUCAUUGUUUUCCCUGUUGUCAAAGACUUGCUUUUUUUGUGUGUAGAUUUUAUGUCUUAUUUAUUUCUUUCUCUACAGAGGGGACCUGCUUUUAUAUCAGAUCUACUCUCUGUGAUCCCAAAUGCACACUAUUUCAAGAGAGGAACCUAUGAUCUUAAAAAGGUUUUAAUAUUAAUUUCUGUUAAUUCCUUUUUUUUUCAAAAAACUACAAAAUAGUUUUUAUUUUGGCAUAUUUUGCCUAUGCAGAUUGUAGAAUAUGCAGAAAAUAAGGAAUUCACUUCUGUUAUCGUUGUCCACACUAAUCGCCGGGAACCAGGUUAAAUUAUGCAGCCUUUAUCUAGCAUUUGCACACAACCAUUGCCUCUGGCCUUUUUUCUCUCUUCAUGAGUUAAUGUAGAAUACUAAUGAUGGAAUCUUCUUUUAGAUGCUUUAUUGAUAAUUGCAUUACCUGAUGGACCUACUGCCCAUUUCAAAUUAUCAAAGCUGCUUCUGCGCAAGGAUAUUAAGGUUUGUUGGUCCUCCGUCUUCUUUUUCAGAAUCUUGUCUAAGCUGCUAAGCUUUUUAAUUAGGAAUGAUUUUCCCUUAAGAGAAGAAGCUAUAUUAGUUUGAUAAGGGUGCUGAAUGUUGUCAUGGUUUUACGUUGCACUCUAGUACUCAUGAUGAUUUUAGUAUUGCAAUUUCUGAUGGUCCUUUAGUUAGAUACCUAUCCCCAAAGUGUUCCUUUGAUAGCUUUGUUUCAGUAUCCUGCUAUUCCUUCCUCAAUAUUUUCCCUCAUUCUCAAUAGUGUAAUUUUAAUUAUCAUGUGCUUUCUUCUGUGUGUGUUUUCUUGAAAUGGCUGUUGUUUUCAUGGAUAUCUGGGUCUGUUUAUGUGUAUGUGUAUUCCAUACUUAGGUGUUGCAUGUUGGAUUUUGGAUGUCUUGUAGUUCCAGAUAGAUGAUGAUGCUUUACUCUCCUUCACUUGCAGAAUCAUGGGAAUCCAACUAGUCACAAGCCUGAGCUAGUCUUGAAUAACUUCACAACACGCUUGGGACAUCGUAUCGGGAGGUGACUUCUUGUUUUAUAUGUGAUUUUUUCAAGAGAGUUACAGGAAAUUGGAUGUGUGUUUAAAACAUUGAUUAUAUUUAGUGUGGUGGCACAGUUAAUUUAUGUUGUUUUCUCUGGAUUUGCACAGAUCAUCUCUCUCUCUCUCUCUCUCGCCUGUAUGUGUUUGUGAAUGUCUUGUACUCUUAAACCUAGAAUAUUUAUGAAGUAUUUUGCUAGAUAAUUUCUGUCUCGUGCACUUUAAGAUCUCUCUCUCUCUCUCUCUCUCCUGUAUGUGUUUGUGAAUGUCAUGUACUCUUAAACCUAGAAUAUUUAUGAAGUAUUUUGCUAGAUAAUUUCUGUCUCGUGCACUUUAAGAUCUCUCUCUCUCUCUCUCUCUCCUGUAUGUGUUUGUGAAUGUCAUGUACUCUUAAACCUAGAAUAUUUAUGAAGUAUUUUGCUAGAUAAUUUCUGUCUCGUGCACUUUAGGAUCUAUAUUUUUGUUUAUGACUCUUUCUAUGCAUUAUUUUGGUUAAUAGGUUGAUACAAUCGCUUUUCCCACAAGAUCCUAAUUUUCAUGGUCGUCGAGUUGUAACGUUUCACAAUCAACGUGAUUUUGUAUUCUUUCGCCAUCACCGGUGUGUGUUCUUUCUUUUAAGGAGUUUGUUCUAUUCCACAUAUUGAUCUUAGACUUGUAAUAAAGCUUUGUGAUGGCAACCUUAUCUUUUGAAUGUGAAGUUACAUUUUUGAAACCAAAGAAAGUAAGCAGGCUGCAUCCAGUGGCAAAAAGAGCAAGGAUAAUAACGAUGAGAAAAGCGAGCAGAAACUUAUUGCACGACUUCAGGUUUGUGUUUCUGAUUUAGUUCAUUCUUGUCUUGAGAUGUAUAUUCUUUCUUUUGUGAUAAGUACUUCUAGCACAUUUAGAAUUCAAGAAUAAGUUUUAGUUUUGUUAAAAAUGCUAUUUGUCCUAAUCCCAAGAUAAGGGGAAUUAAUUUGUUGCUGUUUUAAGGAGACUAAGCCUUAAAAUGGCAAUUAGUAAUGCACUUGGAUCUGCACAAAUUUGCCUGCAAGGAACUCUAUAGUAAGUUUGAAUCUUCCCAUGAAUGGCCUUGUCCUCAUAUUUGGCAUCUGCAGCACCCUUAGUUUCGGUAUAUGAAGAUGCACAUCAUACAGGCCAUGUUUUGACCGGAAUGUCUAUUGUUAACUGGUAAUUGAGUCAAUGCCAGUCAUACAUGUUUCUUUGGGUUAACUGGUUAAGGAAUGGAGAAAACCCCUCUUGACACUUCUAUAGCCCCUUAUAAUAUUCCUGUCAUACAGGUCUUUUAUGCUUUAGCAUUUUUCGUCUUUCUUUUUAAUUGCUGUUUAUACUGAUGGCCAAUUCUUUUCAUGCUUUACGGCAGUUCUUUUUAAGGUUUGGAAUCGAUUUAGUGGCUGAAAAAAAACUCACAUUCAUAUUAUCCACUUAAAAAAUGUAGAGAAGGAUAAGAAACAAGGGGCAAAAAAAUGCAACAUGAAAGGAAAUAGCUAUCUGAGUCAGAAUAUGAAUUAGAAACUUUACCUAGUAAAGCUGAAACUACACCAAGAACUUGGCUUCUAGCUGGUCUGGUAAGUGUAUGUGCUAUAGAGAUCUGAACAUUCGUGAACAAUGCUUAAAAUUUCCUUCCAGUUUGUUUUAACUGUUCAUCAAAGAAAUAUUUAUUACUACAAAACAACAACACAUAAAAGGCAAAACAGAAGCAGAGAAAGAGACUAUUGGUAAUCUGUUUGUUUGACUUUCAUAUGUUAUCUGUUUUUUCCACCUAUUGAUUUUCUUAUUGCA